rnacentral:lncRNA from 1 species
UCAGUUUUUUUCCACUCUUUAUAUAUGCCAUACCGUCCACGGGUUUCGUUCAUAAUGGUCUCUUUCAGUUAAACCAGAAACCAAAGCACCAAUUAAGAGAGAGAGAGAGAGAGAGAGAGAGAGAGAGAGGGAGAGGGUCAUGCAUCUCUUCUGAUUUAACAAGAAAUAUGAUUUCCCUUUUUCUUCUGGUUUAAAACCUAACCAGUUUGGUUUGCGUUAGGGUUCUUUUUAUUAUUAAAGGGCUGUCGAGUGUGCGAAGAGAAUAGUUUUGCUUUGGCGUUUGUUCGUGAUUUUUUGGUAGCGGUUGGCAUGGCUGUUGAUGCACAGUAUUAUUCUGAAAGUAUGGGUUUGGCCAUGUGUGGCGUACAGGAUUGGUGGGUGAACCCCGUUUCUUCUUCUGGGCUUGACGUUGAUGCUUCCAAUUUCAAUCCGCAGCAACUGCCUCAGGUUCAUCAUCUUCAUAACCACUACAGCAUUCAGGAUCUCUGUGUUGACGAUAACACGAGUCCAAAUCCCUUCCCCUCUUCUUCAAGCAGUGAUAAGCUUCUCCCAAUGGCGUUCUCUCAAUCUUUGGCCGAUCAGCUUGAGACCCAGAGACUCGAAAUCGAUUGGCUUCUUCAUUUUCAGGUCAGAAACAAUGUCUAUUCUUUUAAUAAGGGGUUUCUUUUUUUCUUUUUCUUUUUUUUUUUCUUUUUGUGUUUUCUUUGAAUUUGAGUUUUGUUGAUAUUUUGUGCAAUAGCUUGAGAGAUUGAAAUUUGCUUUACAAGAACAACGAAAGCAACAACUGGGGUCGCUGUUGAACAGAUUGGAAUCAAAGACUAUAACCCUAAUGAGACAAAAGGAGGAAGACUUGGCAAGAGCGACGAAGAAGAUGAUGGAGCUGGAAGAUUGGUUGAGAAGGAGAGAAGUGGAAAGCCAAGGAUGGCAGCGAGUGGCGACAGAGAACGAAGCGAUGGUCAAAUAUCUAAACAACAUGCUGGAACAGGUCAGAGAAACGCACUUAUUGCUGAGCAACGGAGCCGAAGAUGCAGAGUCGUAUGGGGGUGGUCCCAUUGACAGAAGAGAGGACGAAGGCAGGGGAAGAGACAGAGGAGAAGGAGGAGAAGAAGUGAAAGACCAGUGCAAAAAGAUGGCAUGCAAACGCUGUAAUUCUCGGACCUCGUGCUUUCUUUUCUUCCCUUGCAGACACCUUUGUUCGUGCAAGUCUUGUGAGCCCCUUCUUGGUUGCUGCCCAGUCUGUAAAUCUGUAAAGGAGGCAAGCAUGGAGGUUUUCUUGGUCUAAGAAGAAGAUUAAAAGAGAAAAAAUGAAAAGAAAAAGGCCCAAGCAAUGGAAAAAACAGAAAAGAAAAAAAAAAAAAAAAAAAAAAGGAAAGGAAAAUUUUUUGGGAAGAACACUUUUUGGAUUCCUUUACGGUGUUCAUGGCGUUCCUCAUUUUCUUUUUCCGGGCUCUCUGAUAUCAAUUUUUUUUGGCGUACAACGGACGGCCCAUCUCAAUCGAAAUGAUGAUGAUGAUAGCAGUAGCAUUGUGAAAUUGCAGGAUGAGAAUCUCGGUGCCUUUUCCUUUUCUGGCUUUAUUAAUUUUCCUGAUUUAGCGAUAGAGACUGAUUUGCACCUUUUCUUUUUCUCUUGUUAUUUUGUUUCUCUUUCUGUUGUGGUUUACAAGGAGAAGAAAUUGGCAGCUCCCUUAGCCGUAACAGUGUCCUGUUAACUGACACCCGAGAUUUGAAAGCAAAGCUGUCAUUUAUCAUGGAACCGCCAUUACAGGCUGAUCCCUCUCCCCCUCCCUCUCCCUCUCCCUCUCCCUGUCUCUCUUUUGAUUUAGACUGCCACAAUUAAUUUUCUUUUUGAACAAAUCAAUUUCAAAUCAGGAACUGGGUUUUUUCUUUUAUGAGAAUUAAAGUACGAUAUUUUUGGGUCUUUGCUGUAAUUCUUAUUAAUAUUUUAUACGUUUUAUAUUGAAUGUUCUUUAUCCAAAUACGUAUAGAUUUUAUUUAAGUUAAUCGAAUAAUAGCACUGGAAACUGGUGUGUUUGUACUCGUGGGACACGUGUUAAAAGGCAAAUGAAGAUGUGGCAGUGGGCCGGGUCCCACUUGAUUUGGAGGUAGGACCCCACCAAGCAGGUUUUUCAUUUUUUGCGGAAAUAACCUUUUCCGAGGGAGUAUUGGUUCCCUUGCUUCAUGCUCAAUCUUCCGCUGGGUGCGGAUCCUUUGCCGUACGCGUGGAUGAUGUCCACCUGGACGGCCUCGAUGCUCUGCCCCUCCGUCCCUUCACUUGACUAUAUCUGAUUGCGGUGGACAGUAGCGGAUUUGGACCGAUUGUUGGCGCGACUUACUCAUUGUUGUCUUUUGGAGCAUUUUGAUCUCGUUUCUGACCCCUUCCAUUUAUGAAAUAUCGGCAUAUUUGUUUUACAUUUUUUACAUAAAAAAUUAAAAUAUAUUUUAUUUUAUUUAAAGACAUUUAUCACCCAUUUUUUAAUUUUUAAUUUUUCAAAUAUAAACUAUCAUAUAAUAAAAUAACAAUAAACUAUAGUCCAUAAAUAUUAUCUAUAAAUUAAAAUUGUAAUUUUUUUUUCUUUUCCUCUCAAAAUCUUCAUAUCAUUUAAAUAUCUUCAUCCCAAUUUCUAACAUCAUAUUCCACUUAGAAUUAUUUUCCACUUCAAAAUAAAAUGUUUUAAUUUUUUUAAUUGAAAAAAUAAAUCAUUAGUCAUAAUUUUUCCUUAUAGGAUAAAUUAUUCUCCAUCAUGGGACAUUAUGGACGAUGAUUUUUACAAAGAAAAAGACAUUUUAUUUUGAUUAUUUAUUUAACUAUAUAAUGAGUGAAGAGUUAUUAUAAAUAUCUUGUUGAAAAAUGAAAAAUUAAGUCUUGGUAACAGUUUUUUAAAAUAGUUUUAAAAAUGAUUUUAUAAUGUUUUAUGAGCCAAAAGUUUAUUUGUGAAUUUGAAUUGUUUUUUACAUAUUUUUAAAUAAUUUUAUAUUUAAAACUUUAUUUUUAAUCAUUAUUUAUAUUUAUAUAAUUAUUUUUUAAACAAUUCUAAAAAAUUAAUUAAAAGAUGUUAUUUAAAAAUACCAUAUUUUCUAUUAUUAAUAAUAAAAAAUAUAAAACAUUUUUAUGGUUAUUAACCAAGUUUUUCAAUUUUUUUUAUUUGGAAAACUAAAAAAUUAUUCUAAAAAAAUAGUUGUUAAAUGAGUUUUUAGUUUUAUGUUUUUUUUAAUAAUAGAAGUUUUCAGAAAUCAAUUUCAAUAAUUUUCUAUUUGAUUUAUCGUGAAAUAUAAAAAAAUAUGAAAAUUUUAGAUAUUUAAUUUAUUAUAAAUAGUAAAUAUAUAAGAUUUAUUUAAGAAAGUAUAAAUUAUAAAAUUUUAUUUCUUUAUAUAAAAUAUAAAAGUUACUAUUUAUUAUAAAUAGUAACUGGUAAAUUUUCUCUUUCCUUGGAGCACAAAGGAAUCGGAAUGAAAUUAAUCUUCUAUAUUUUUCAAGAAAAAAAAUAAUUGAUACUCAUAGAUUUUUAGUGUUUUUCAAUCAAUCAAUUCAUUGCUUUUUGUCUUAUUAAAGCUAGGUGUUAAGUCUGAAUUCAAAGAGAAGAGAGUGCAUCCCAAGCUGGAUUUUUCAAAUCAUUGAAACUAUAAAAUCACCCAAAAAUUUAAAUUUAUAAGAUAAUUAUUACUUAUUUUCUAAUUUAUUUACCAAUUUCUUAAAUGAUAUAUGAAAAAUUAGUUUCGAUUUUUAAAUAAUUAUAAUUUUUUUGGACUGAGAAAGAUUAGAUCUUGCGGGGUAUCAGAGUCCGCAUCUCUAUGAUCCUAUGAUUGGCAAAUAUCAAGCACGGAAAGUUUCGUCUACGUAAUCCAUACGCAAGAAGUCCCCGGUUUUUCAAUAUUCUUUUUUUUUUUUUCUUUCUGCGUGGGAAAGAAGGUGAAGAAAUAUAGCAAGCAGAGAGUUGUUCUGUUGGUGCUUCGUCUCUCUUCCUCUGGUUGCGAAAGCCUAAUUCGGAGAUAGCAAUGCAACAGGGAGAUUACAAUUCUGUUUCCUAUUAUCAAUAUCAACACCCUCAAAACCCUAACCCCAACCCUAUCCCCAAUCCUAAUUCGAUUCCGAUCGAUCCCCAGCCAAAUCCUUCGCCUUCGACCUACGCUUCUGCGCCUCCGUUUACCACUAGUUAUUCUCCCUCCGAUUACUCUGUUUAUACCCCCGCGUAUCCUCCAUAUCCGCAAAAUCCCGAGCCUGUCCCCAAUAUCCCUCCCACGGCUCCUUCAUAUUCUCCGAGCCCUAAUUUGCAGUCAUUCAAUCCAUCGCCUCAGCCGUCGUCUUUUCCUCCUUUCGAAGCUCAGGGUUCGUAUCAACCUCCGGCGCAGCAGCCUCCGUAUCAUCCACAGUACGAUCAACAUCUGACGGCUCCCAAUUUCUCCAACCCUAUUCCCAAUUCCAAUGCUAAUCCGUCGUACGCAAAUCCUCCUGCCUACUCGGCUUCGUACAGCCACGUAGGCUCUUCCGUGCCGCCCGUUUACGAGAACCCGUAUGAGACUACUCCAAAAUUUGAUCAAACUGGCGGAUAUUUUGAUGAAACUUCGGGUAGAUAUGGAGGCUAUAGCCGGACACGGUCCGAUUUAGGAUCCGAAAUGUAUUCGAAGAGAUCGGAUAGUGGGGUGUCGUCGAGGUACGAUCUAGGUUCAAUUCGAGAUGAUGGGUAUGGUGAUGGAGUGUAUGCUUACGAAGGGAGCAAGGUGGAGCCCUAUGGUGCAAGAGGCACAGCUCCAAAGUCGUCGACUUGGGUGGGUUUUGAUGAUUACGGGAGGUCAAUCAGUUUUCCUUCUGGUAAAGACCAGCCAUCUGCCAAGAUCGUGAGAGCAGUGCCCAAGGCGGAGACCCAGCAAGAUGUAAAGAGCGGGGUGCAGAAGUUUCGGGUCAAGCUAUUGUCUGAAGGUGGAGGACAGAGCUCCAUGGAUGUUCUUUGUCAGGUUCGUAUGGAUUUGCUUAUCUCAUUGUUAUUUUAGUCAUAUUGGAAUUGAUGAGGACGAGAAUGUGGCGUGGUCUAUGAAUCCUUCGUUGAACAAGCAUCAUUAUUAGUAGAUAGAUUGAUCAUAUUGGUUAGUUGAAUGGCAUUGGGUUAUUUACUUUAUUCAUAGAUCUAAGAUGUCACAGAGAACUUCCUAGGAAUUUCUAAGCUCGCUUUAACAGAUUUGCUUUAUGAUUUAUGUUUUAUUUCUUUGUUUUAUCAAUUUUUGCCAUGGACUUAUUUAUUGUUUAGACCUAUCUGAAACUUUUUCAUCUGAACUGAAUUCAAUUUUUUGUCAAUUGCCUAACUGGUAAAUCUGCUUGUUAUUAAGUUUAUAACGUCCCAUCUAUAAUUAAGACCUCUUCUUUGGAACUAAGGAUCCAUACUCUUUAUAUGUAUUAGUUUUGGUUCUGAUGUCCUAUCCUGCUAAAACCUCUGAUUACCAAUGUCACAAGAUUUUUGCCCAUUUUGGACUUUGGAUGUAAGAAGAAUGAGGGAAGGGAAAGGAAAGGAAAUACCAAAAUAGAUUGUCUUUUUUUGUUGAACAAUAAUCUGCAUUUUACUUUCUGAUCCCCUUAUUCUUUUGAAGAACAGAGCCUUAUUUUGGUUCCAUUUUCCAUUUGCCAAAAUUUUUAUUUUUUGUUUUUUAGAACGCUAAUUGACUUAUGGGGCUUGUUGAUGUAGACCAAUCAAAUGGAUGUGAUGCAUUUGCAUGCUUCCUUUGGAGGAAUGAAUGUGUAUAGUUAUUUAUGUUAAAAAAACUUGAGUUUGGAAUGCUUUCAUCAUAGUAUAUAAUAUAAGUGCCAAGUUUUGUUUUGCUUCUUUCUCCUUUUUAUUGCAUAUUUACUAAUUUUUUUACUCACCUUUUGAUUUAUGAUUUUCAUCUCAGAUUGGUUUGGAUGGAAUUCGUAUGCUUGAACCCAGCACUAGUCGAACAUUGAGAAUAUAUCCACUUGAGACAAUAACAAGAUGUGAAGUGAGUUGGUUGCUUCCCUUUUUUUGGAUUUCCCUCUACUGUCUUAGUUUUUAGCACUAUAUUUUGUUAUGGUAUACUAUGGUGGAUAUGUAGCAUUAUCUUGAAAUGUUUUCUCUUUUUGUUCAGGUCACUGACUCAUCCACUUUUGCAUUUUGGUCCAAAAGUUCUGUGGAUAUUGAACCAAGACGGAUCAGGCUGCAAUCAAAUAGCUAUACCACUAAUACUAUUUUGGACACAGUGACAGCUGCAACCGUGCAGGUUGUUUUCCUAGUUCAUUGAUGAUUAAUAAAAAAUUAUAUAAAUAUAUAUGAUGCCUUAGAGUUCAGUUAUACAUGCAUGUGUUUAUAAUUUUGAAGGACCAGUUUGGGAAACCUUGAAGUUCACUUUAGACCCUUUAAAAGAUUGUUUCAUUGUCUGUAAUCUUGGGGUAGUUCUCAAAUUCAUUAUCAUUUGUGUCUGUGUGAACUUCACGGGCAUUUUUUGUUUGAAUAUUAUUUAAAAGAUACAACAAUUUGAACUACCCUUAAAUUUUUUUACCCCCUUUAAGAAAACUCAUGAUACGAGUGAUAUGCAUUGCGAAAUCUAUAAUGUUAGAAAACAGUAUGAAGGGAUAGAAAGAGAAUGUUUUGUUAUCUCUGUGUUAAUUGAGUAACUUUUGUUGUGGGUGUCUCUUUUUUGACCAAGCUCCUAUGUGAACUUUGAUCAUGUCUUCUACUUGUUGCGCAUGGACAUCUAAGCUAGAGGGAGGAACUACUCUGCAGCAUUCAGUUAUUUGUAAUUUUUGCUAAUAGAUUUUUUCUUCUUCUAAAUAUAGAUUAAGGAGAUGGGUGGUAGAAGCAGGCCUUCCGAAUCUUUAAAGACAACUGAGCAACCUACCGAGAAGAAGAAAGGUUUUGCUGACUGGAUGAACAUAAUAAAGCCUGGAAAUGAGGAGAAAGAUCAUUGGGUAUGUUGAAAUUCUUGAGAUGGUAUCAUUUUAAUUGUGCAUUUCUUAUUAAAAUGGCCAUGAUAUUGUUGUAAAUUUGUAUUUGCUUAUAUGCAUUGUGAAAGUAUGGAAUGAGUGUGUUUUGUUGUGGGGUUCUUUUAUUGUUCUUAUGCUUAUUAGGUGUCUAUGUACUUGAAAUUAUUAACUUUUCAUGAUUAGUAUAUUUGAAGGAAGAAAGAAGUCUUCCUCAAGGGAGAUAAUCACCCUCUUUAGUCAUCUACUUCUUUCUUCUCCACUCUCUUUUAUGAACAUAGCCUUUCGUGAGAUGAAAUUCUAGAUGUCUGUUUUAUCAAAUUGGCUAUUCAAAAUGUUUUUGAGUGAUUAAUGCUUGCGUCAUUACAGAUUUAGAAAAAAUUUGCAAAAUAUAGGCUUAGUGCAUGAAAUAAACCUUUAGGCUAGAACAUGAGAUUGUGUAUAUACAAAUAAUAUCAUUUUCUUUUCAGGGUAAGCAAUGUCAUGAGUCCUAUGAUGCUACUACAUGUCAAUUCUAUGUGAGUCAUAAACAAAUAAUUUUUUUUGAUAGGCAAAUAAAGCAAGCAUAAUAUUAAAAAAAGUGCCAAAAUUAGUGCACCAGAGUACAUAGGACAUAUACAACGGUCAUUGAAAGGCACAAUGAAACAAGAUGAAACAUAAAAAACCACUCUCCCUUAAUGUGAACUCAACCAAUCAGCAAAAUCAAUUAAAAAUAUUGGACCGCCAUUUAUGUAUAGCUUCACCCACAAUGCAAGAUUACCAAGAACAUGUUUUUUAGUUUUUCAUAAGAAUGCUCCUCAUUUUCAAACGAUCUUUGAUUCAUUUUUUUUCGUAUUGUCUAAAAAAUGCACAAAGGUAUGACUUUCAACACCUUUCGUUUUUUCCCCACAAAGGAGUCAUGCUAUUUUGGGAUAGUCUCCGACCGUGGAAGAUAACACCCAAGAUACACCAAACAAGGAAAACAACAACUGUCAGCAUAACCCUUGUCUUGGCAGGGUGAAAGAGGAUAUGAAUGGGUUCUUCCUCGUCUUUACAAAGAAAACAUCUGCUUACCAUUGAUUGAAUUCCUGCCAUGCAUUUUUUAAUCUUAAAUUCAUGAAAUCACAUGAAGGAGAGCUGGAUGACUAAAUGAAUACAUAUGAUUAACAUGAUGUGGAAGAAAUUGGGAAUUGAUAGCAGAAGAUGGUCUCAAAAUGACGUAGAAACCUGUGAAAAAAUGAUGUUGAAAUAGGGAGUAACAUAAAAAUUUACAUGUCAUCCUCUACCCAAUCGGUUUUCGCUUUGGGGUGCUGAUGCUCGACUCAAGUGUGAGUUAUCUAAUUGUCCAAAGUUGGUGGAAUGAUUACUGUUGGGGUGCAAUAAUGCUGCUCUUAAGUCUGGGUAUGGGUCACCUAAAUGAUGGUUUUAGAAUAAGCCCGCAGGGUGUGAUGUUGAAUGCCAUAAAAGGUUUAGCCUAUUCUCAUUGAACACUAAUUGGUUUUUAGAUGAGAUGGUUAAAGCUCGAUCCAAGAAUUGGUAUUAGAGCCAAAGGUCAUGGAUUCGAGUCAUGGGAGCGUCAUGUUGGGGGAGGGAUUGUUGGGAUGCAACAAUGCUACUCUUAAGUCUGGGGAUAGGUCACCCAAAUGAUGGCUCUGAAAAGGUUUGGCCUACCCUCAUUGAACACCAAUUGAUUUUUAGACGAGUUGGUUAAAGCCCGAUCCGAGAAUUACAUUUCUUAUGGUGUUUGUUCAACUAACAUUCUUAGACCCUGUUUUUAAUUCCAAUAAUUGAAAAACAAAAAAAGGAGAAUCUUGGGAUGAUGGUUACUCAUAGUUUUAAAAGGCAUGCUUAAAGCUUGCCUAGGCUCAAGGUGCAAUCACUCCAUAGCUAUAGUGCCUUGCUUGCCAAGACAUGCGCCUUGUUGAAGAGGCUCGCCUUGUAUAUUUUACUUUUCAUUUUUAAACACUUUUUAUUCUUGAAAUUUUUAAUUGUAUAUUGAAAUUUAUAUAAUUUCAGUACUUUUUUUUAUUAAAUGUUUGAAAUUUUAAUUUUUUUGGUUGAUUAAAUUGGAUUUUGGAUCAUUUUUUAUAAAAUUGAUAUGCAUACUAGGUCGGGUUUCACUUCACUUAGGCGCACACCUUGUGUUGUGCCUUGCGCCUAAGCUAUAGGAUACUUUUGCGUCUUAGGUGAGCCUUGCGCCUUUUAAAACUAUGUGGUUACAUGAUAGAAAUGUCUGAAAUGUUAUGAACUAGGGAGUAUUUUAAACUAUUAAAGGUUGAAGCUUCUUCUGGAAUCCAGUGAGGUCGUGGAAGGUUAUCAGAAUUGACUGGAUGGUAUUUAGAAGCAGAUCUUGUUUCAUCAUGGAUAAUGGAAAAAGGGUAAAGUUUUGGAAAGAUGAUGCGAUGAAUGUGCUUUGGAAGUAGCCUGCCUGUUGUUAUUCUCUAUUGUCAUGCUAAAGACUCUUGGGUAGUUGGGAUGUGGGAACAGAUCAGGGGAGGAGGGCAUGGAGUCCCUACUUGUGUAGAUAACUUUAUUAUUGGGAAUUGGAAGAAGUGGAGCUUUAAGACCACAUUCAAGUUCAUUAAGGGAUGUUGAGGACUGGUUGAGCUUGAAGGAAACCAAGACUGGCAAUUUUUCUGUCAAAUAUUUCUACACUUUCCUAGCUCAGGGAAGAAGUGCAGCGUUAGUUUGAAGCCCAUGGGUGCCAACAAAAGUGAGUUUCUUUGCUCGGGAAACUAUUUGGGCAAGGAUCUUAAAGCUUGAUCAGCUUAGAAGAAGGGGAUGGAGUAUUCCGAACUGAUGUUACAUGUCUGAAUGGGAAGAAAGUUGGCUGGUCAGUUGCUCUUUCCCUGUUCCAAAGCAAUAAUCACAUGACAGCAGGGUUUUUCGCUGUUCAGAGUACUUUGGGUGAUGUAGACAUAUGUAAAAGGAAUUCUUCUGAAUUGGUAUGACUCUUUUGUGAGGAAGAAGCAGAAGAGAGCCUCGAGGGUCCCUCCUUUGUGUUUGUUUUGUAUUUUAUGAAAGGAAUAGGUGGUCAUUCGAAGAUGCAAAAUUAUGGGUUAAAGGAAUCAAAUCUUCCUUUUUAUGAAUUUUUUGGAUUAGAUUAGAGUCUAUAUAGAUGAUCCGCCUACGAUAGACUUUGUAGAUUGCUUGAGUACUAAGUAAGGAGAGAGAGAUUGUUUUUUGUUUUCUUUCUCCUGUUUUGCUUUCCUGAUUGGGGUUCUAUCUGUAUAUGUUGUGUCAGAGUGCACUCUUUUCAGGCACUUUUAAUAUAUUCUCCCAUUUUGCCUAUCAAAAGAAAAAAAGAAAAAAAAGAAGGGUUAAAGCUCCUUUCUUGGGUCUCAGUUUGUUUUAGAUAUAGCUUACCCAAUAUAUGGCUCAAACUUGGCGCUGGUAAAUUUUCAGAAGCUGUUUAUUUAAUUUAUUUUAAGUAUUUCUUACAGAAGUGUUUUCUAAACUAUGUGGAUGCAAGUUUAAAACAUAAACAGUUCCCGUUCUUAGAAAGAUUACGUGAAUGCUGAGCAAGCUUUAUAGGAAGCAAUCACAAUGCUCUCUUUGCUUACUUCCAAUUGUGAAAUAGGUGAUAAUUAAAUAAUUUUCUUUCAUGUACUGGUUUGGGAGAGUUUACUGAAAAAGAAUGGGUUCUUUCCCAACUUGUGAAUUGACUGAUCAUGUUUGAGUAGGGUAUAAUUAUUGUGCACUAUUAAUCCUCUAAAAAUUUAAUUUCUCAUUUUCCCCCGCCCUUUUGUUUUAAUUAAUUUCUCAGGUCCCUGAUGAAGCAGUUACCAAGUGUACAGCCUGUGGGACAGAUUUUGGGGCUUUUGUGCGUAGGGUAUGCCUUUACCUGUGGGUUAAGUGUUAAAUAAAAUUCAUGUUCUUAUGGAUAUUUCGCAUUUUUGGUAAACCUUGUAUUGUCUCUCUUUAUUUACAGCAUCACUGCCGGAAUUGCGGAGAUAUUUUCUGUGACAAGUGUACUCAUGGUAGAAUAGCUUUAACAGCUGAUGAGAGCGCUCAGCCAGUUCGAGUUUGUGAUCGAUGCAUGGUAUGCACUUAUAAUCCCUUUUUAUCAUUUUUCUUUGUAUCCCUUUCUACGUAAUUUCUAGUGUAAUAUUGGAUGAUUGCCCUAUAUCCAUUAAUAUUGGACAGUUUAAUGCACAAGAAAUAGAAUUGUAAUGAAGUACAUUUUAAUUUGCACUUGGGCAAACAGAUAGCUCCACUAAAACGGCAAUGUGGCAAUGUGAGUGUAUCUUUUGAUGUUGAGAGCAUUUUAGGUGAGAGCAUAGUUUUAAAAUGCACAAGGUGCACCUAAACCACAAAAGUCUCCUACAGCUUGGGCACAACACUAGGUGUGCUUUUGAGUGAAGUGAAAUGUGACCUAAGAUGCAUAUCAAUUUUAUAGUAUAUGAAUAUGAUAUCAAAUCUAAUUUAAUCAAGGAAAUAUUUUAUUUUCUAAACAGUUAAAAGAAGCAUAAAAAAAAUAAUAAUGAAAUUCCAUAAAUUUCAAUAUUCAGUUAGAAAUCUCAAGAAUAAAAAUAUGUAAAAAGGAAAAGUAAGUAGACUAGACACACUUCUCCCACAAGGUGGAUGCCUUGAUAAGCGAGGUGCUGUAACUAGGGAGUGGUUGCACCUUGGGCCUAGACCAAGCAUUAAGCACGUCUUCUAAAACUAUGUGUGAGAGCCAGAACUUGCUGCAUAAAAUGAAAUAAAGUAGUAGACAAAACUCCUCAUUUGGUAUGUUACCAAUAAAUUGAUUCACUGUUGGAUCAGUUUGGUUUCAUUUUGUUCUUUAAAAAUGCCCAGGUUGUUCUGGAAUGUUGCUGCUUCAUUUUUUCUGCUGUUGAUUUUUUAAGAAAAUCAAAUAGAGGAGGAGAAAAUACUGUUCUGAUGGCCUUGUUUUAUUUAAAAUGUAAUUAAAUUAAAUUCUUAUCAAUUAUAUUUAUAUUUCUAUUUAUCUCAUUAUAUUCAUUGCCCAUUGUAUAAAUACUGCUUUGUUCAUUACCGAUUUUAUAAAUACUCAAACACCCAUCGGGUAAACCCAUUACCUCAUUAUCCAAGACCCAUUUCUUCAUCCUCCCCGCCCUCUUCUUCUCUAUCAAACCCAUUUUUUUUUUCUUUCUCUGCAACUGGGUGAAUGAGAAUAAAACCAUCUGCGAUUGAUUUUCCUCAAGGCUCAAGUUCCAAGCUGCUUCUCCUUUUGAAUUGAUCCACGCCAUCUCCGAGUCAAACUUGGAUAUCUGUUUUGUGGCAGGCUUGGCCGAGGCUGAUACUUCAAACUCUGCUACAAGCAGCUGGCAGAGGAUAAGUCAUUGGCCUACAUCCGUCUAUCCUACCUAAACAGUAACCCUUUUCUUGUUUGUUUGCAAGGAGACUGAACUUCUCCAUCCUUUUCCACCCUUACUCAAGGCCAUAUGUUGUUGAAGGUUGAAGCACUGCCACCAGCCCAAUGUUUUUAGUUAUGCAACUACUGGGAUUACCAAACAUGUUACUAUUUUCAAAGACUAAAAACAAGACAAAAAAUCAGUUGUUUGGUCGUGUGUUUAGAAACAAAAAAACUGGGAAUGAUUAAAUGGACCAUCGAUGAAGUUGGUUCAGCAAUGAGACAUCACCUCUCAUUGGUUUUUCAAGCUUUUGAAAAGUGCAGGGGUUUGAGCAUUGUCAGGUUGAUUAAUGACCUAUCAUGAUUUUGUAAGCUUGAGAAAGAUUUAGGGGUUUGAAUGUUGCUAGGUUAAUUAAGGAUAUUUAGUUGUUCAACCUUGCAGAAGAGGACUUGCAUCUAGUCAUCCUUCUACUCAUGUCUGGUGCACACACUUGCAUAAACAUGUAUAUCUUAUAAAUAAAACCAACAUUAGGUUUAUUGAUGAGUUAUUAUGAUUUUGCAAGCUUGAGAAAGAUUUAGGGGUUUGUAUGUUGCUUGGUUGAUUAGGGACAUUUAGUCAUGUUAAACCUUUUAGAAAAGGACACACAACUAGUUAUUAGAGUUUUGGGUCAAAAUGACCCAUUUUUUAAACUUAACGUUGAAAACGGGCUCAUUUUCAAACUAUUGUUCAAAAUGGCCUCUUUGAUGCCACGUAGGCGCCACGUAAGGGUCUCCAACGGGCCGGCUGGGCGGGCUGCCCGGGUGGGUUUGGGUAAAAAUUAAAAUAGUUUUCAGUUUUGAAGGGAAGGGGAUUCGAAUCCCUUCCCUUAUGGAUCCAUAAGGGAGCUAGCCACCAAUUGAGCUAGUCCUCUUUUGUGUAAGUAUUUUGCAUUAGUUAUAUAUAUAUUAAAAACUCAUUUUAAUUAAGCCCAACAGCUGCAAUGGGAGGGCCUCGGUUUUUUGUAACAAUAAUUUACUCUCCUUGUAGCCAAUUCUCACCAACCAAACAUAGCAACAAAACACAAUCAACACAGCCACAAUCAACACAGCCCAACAAAAAAAAAUUCUAAAACCGAGAUUUUGAGGUGGGAAGAAAAAUUGGAAAGUGCCAAAAACUUUAUAUAAGCCAAAAAGAAGAUUAGGACUCACCUUAAACUUUUUUGUAGUUCCACCGUCUUUUUUAGUGGCCCACUGGUGAGGCUAGGGUUUACAAAAAAAAAUCGCACAGAGAGAUAGCAGAAUGGGAGAGAACAGAGCUCGGGGAUGGCCGGAGAAAAGGUAAAGUAAAAAGGGUAUAAAAUAUUGAUUUUAUGGGCUGAUGUGGCUUCAAAGGGCUAUUUUGAACAAUAGUUUCAAAAUCAGCCCGUUGUCAACUUUAAGUUUAAAAAGUGGGCCAUUUUGGCCCAAAAGUCNNNNNNNNNNNNNNNNNNNNNNNNNNNNNNNNNNNNNNNNNNNNNNNNNNNNNNNNNNNNNNNNNNNNNNNNNNNNNNNNNNNNNNNNNNNNNNNNNNNNGACUUUUGGGCCAAAAUGGCCCACUUUUUAAACUUAAAGUUGACAACGGGCUGAUUUUGAAACUAUUGUUCAAAAUAGCCCUUUGAAGCCACAUCAGCCCAUAAAAUCAAUAUUUUAUACCCUUUUUACUUCACCUUUUCUCCAGCCAUCCCCGAGCUCUGUUCUCUCCCAUUCUGCUAUCUCUCUGUGCGAUUUUUUUUUGUAAACCCUAGCCCCACCAGUGGGCCACUAAAAAAGACGGUGGAGCUACAAAAAAGUUUAAGGUGAGUCAUAAUCUUCUUUUUGGCUUAUAUAAAGUUUUUGGCACUUUUCAAUUUUUUUUCCCAUCUCAAAAUCUCGGUUUUUAGAAUUUUUUUUUGUUGGGCUGUGUUGAUUGUGGCUGUGUUGAUUGUGACUGUGUUGAUUGUGUUUUGUUGCUAUGUUUGGUUGGUGAGAAUUGGCUACAAGGAGAGUAAAUUAUUGUUACAAAAAACCGAGGCCCUCCCAUUGCAGCUGUUGGGCUUAAUUAAAUUGAGUUUUUAAUAUAUAUAUAACUAAUGCAAAAUACUUACACAAAAGAGGGCUAGCUCAAUUGGUGGCUAGCUCCCUUAUGGAUUCAUAAGGGAAGGGGUUCUAAUCCCUUUCCCUUCAAAACUGAAAACUAUUUUAAUUUUUACCCAAACUCACCCGGGCAGUCCGCCCAGCCGGCCCGCGCAAGCCCGUCCGGACAGCCCGUCCAGUCGGCCCCCGCAAGCCCGUUCGGAUAGCCGGCCCGUUGGAGACCCUUACGUGGCGCCUACGUGGCAUCAAAGAGGCCAUUUUGAACAAUAGUUUGAAAAUGAGCCCGUUUUCAACGUUAAGUUUAAAAAAUGGGCCAUUUUGACCCAAAACUCUAGUUAUCAUCCUAUUCAUGUUUGGUACACACACUUGCAUAGACUUUUUUUUUUUUAUAAGUGAAUGCAGAUUGUAUUAAAAUUUUAAAAAGUAUACACGAUGUAUACCAAGUAACCAAAAAGUAAGAAGGCACUAAUACAAACAAACUAGUAACCACACCCUACAAAAAGCCUAACUUGUCCACAAAAUCUAAAAUCGACAUAGAUCUAUUCUCAAUGUACAAACCCAAUUCCAAAAAAGAUACAAAAAAGAACUUUUAAUUGUUUAGUCCAAACUUUCACAAUUCUUGAAGACUCUUAUUUCUCUCCCACUAAAUGGACCAAAAAGGGUAUAAAGGAACAACUUUUGAAGUCUUUUUCCUUUUUUUUUGCCAACACAAUGGCCUCUCCAACUCAAGAGCAACCCUCUCACUGAAGCAUGCAUCACCCACUAUACAUAAAGUAGAGCUAAAAUCAAUUGCCACAAAAUGCGAACUUUCAAACAAUGAAGGAGAAAAUGAUCACCUAUUUUUUCUUCUGCUUUGCACAUAUAGUAUCUAUUAGGCAUCUUCCAACCCCUCUUUUUGAGCUGAUCUUGAGUUAAAAUCUUGGUCUAAGUUGCUUCCCAAGUAAAAAAGGCUAGCUCUUAUAGGAGUUCAAGAGUUACUGCCUCUUAAUCAAAUUGGUAAGCUAGAUAAGGUGCUCUUAAUAUCUGUCUUCACCUUUUGAGGAAUACUAGCUCUUCCACAAAGCNNNNNNNNNNNNNNNNNNNNNNNNNNNNNNNNNNNNNNNNNNNNNNNNNNNNNNNNNNNNNNNNNNNNNNNNNNNNNNNNNNNNNNNNNNNNNNNNNNNNCUCCAUCCCUUCCCAAACCCUAGAAGACUUGUAAGGAGCAACCAAAGGGAGACCAAAUUAGGUGGUUGGGACUGCACCCACCUUGCAGCUUAGAACCUUAACAAGGCUCCUCCAUAUUUGGGACAUCCCCAACUAGAAUCAACUCACUUUUCUCCAGAUUAAUCUUGAGCCAUGAACAUGCCUUGAACCACAUGAAGAACCAACUCAAGUGCUUUAGAUUUUCCUUACUAGCAUCUCAAAGGAUGAAGAUAUCAUUUGCAAAAAACCAAAUGGGAAACCUCUACUCCCACAUCGUGCCUUCCUUUGACUAUGAAUCCAUCAAUAAACCACCUUCCCUUUCCCUAAAGAGUAAGUUGGAGAGAGUCUUCAUUGCCAAGAUGAACAAAUGAGGAGACAUAGGGUCUCCUUGUCUCAAAUCCCUAGAUCUUUGGAAAAAGCCUGAAGGGGAACCAUUUACCUAGACAGAAAAACGUGUUGUGAGGAUACACCAUCUAAUCCAUCCUAUCUACUUGGAGUCAAAUACCAUUUUUUUCUAGAACUGCAAGCCUAUCAAAAAUUUUUAUUUUCCAAAACUACAAGGACAAACUCCAAUUCAUAUGGUCAUAAACCUUUUCAAUGUCAAACUUGCAUAACAUUUCUCUCAAAUUGUCUUUAAAUCUAGAAUCAAUGGCCUCAUUUGUUAUCAAAACAUCUAAAAUUUGUCUCCCUAUCACAAAGGCAUUCUGAAAAUUUGAGACUAAGGUAUCGACCACCUUUUUAAGUUUGUUUGCUAGAACCUUAGCUAGGAGUUUGUAUAAACUUCCUACCAAGCUAAUAGGUCUAAAGUCCUUUAGAUCUUUUGCCUCCCCUUUCUUAGGCACCAAUACUAAAAACAUUACAUUUGAACUCCUCUCAAAGUACCCUAAGUUAUAGAAUUCUCCGAAAAACUCCAUAACCUCACAUUUCACAAAAUCCUAACAACAUGCCAAAAAGCCAAGGAAAAGCCAUUCGGACUAGGGGCCUUAUCACCACCCAAGCUAGAUAAAGUUGUAAAGACCUCUUUAGAGAAGGGGAUCUCUAAGGCUUCUAAAUUUGCAAACAACAAGGAAUAAAAAAUCAGCUCAUCUAUACUCGACCUCCACUCCCCCGCCUUAGUAAGAACCCUUUGAAAAGAAUUUGCCACCCCUUCUUUAAUGUUGUCUUCCCCGACUAGCAAUUCACCAUUUACCCUUAACUUGACCAAAAAAUGCCUCCUUCGAAUAUUGAUCAUUUUGAGGAAAAAUCCAGGUCUUGUUUGGUAACUGUUUUUAAAAAUAGUUCUAAAAAAUAGUUUUUAAAAAUAGUUUUUGAAAACUGUUUUAUGAUGUUUUGUAGAGUAAAAGUUUGUUUGGGAACCUGAAAUGUUUGUAACAUGUUUUUAAUAUUUUUAAAUAUAUUUAAAAAAUAAUUUUUAUGUCUAGAGUUUUAUUUUUAAUCAUUAUAAAUGUUUAUAUAAUUAUAAUUUAAAACAACUCUCAAAAAACAAGUAAAAAUAACUGAAAACAAUUAAAAGAUAUUAUCUGAAAACACCCUAUUUUAUGUUUUCAGAGAACAAAAAACAAAAAACAGUUUUUGAUUAUCAAACGUGUUUUUUAGUUUUUUUGUUCUGGAAAACAAAAAACUAUUCUAAAAAAUAGUUGCCAGACAAGUACCUAGUCUUUUUGUCCCCUUCUUUUAGUCACAACUCUCUUGAUUUUUGUCUCUAAGAGAUCUCCUUCAUCUUUGCCCAUUUUGUAAACUCAUUCACCACCCCCUUCUAACCUCAUAUUCCUCCACUGUGAGGGCCCUUUCCCUUUCCUUUUCAUCCCACAACCUUAAUUACACCAAAGACCUCGAGUUUUUUUGUGGAAAAAUUAUCGAAAACCUCCUUAUUCCAGGGUCCUAUUUCAAAGCUUUAAGCUUAACCGCUGGAAUGUGACUAAAGGAACCCUGAACACUGUACCCCUCCCACUAGUUCCUGAUAAGAUCUUUGAAGCCUUCCACCUUUAACCACAUAUUUUCAAAUUUGAAUGGUGUCUUUCUUUUCCUUAUCCCUCUACCAUCAAGCAGGAUUGGUGCAUGAUCUAAGGCUGGAUUUGGAAGGGUGCUUUGGAUCAGACCACUGAACUGAUUCUCCCAAUCAUCGAACACAAGAAAAUGAUCCAGCUAUUUAAUCUGCCACACCAAGUAAACAAUCCACCAGACAGAGGGAGAUCUGUACGACACAUCUCCUUGAUAACCUUUGAAAAGUGCUUCAUGGAAACUGAGAAUCUUUGACAGUUCCUCCUUUCCUCCAGGAAUCUCACUACAUUUGAAGUCCCCUCCCACACACCAAAGUUGUUCUAGAGGCCUCUAAUAUCACUCAACUCAUUCCAAAAAUGUUCUCUCACAGCCAAAAUAGGACCAUAAACCCCCGUAAACAUCCAAACAAAAUAUCCUCGUAGUUUCUGAAGGGACAGGAAACUGAAUAGACACGAAACUGGUAGAACUAUUGAGACACAAAUGUCAACUAUUAGCAUUCUAAGGAUGGCCUUUUAGGCAGCAUUUGGUUCACUUUGUAUAGACAUGUAUAUCUUGCAAAUAAAACCGAUAUCUUCAGAUCUAUUGAUUUCAUGUUCCAUUGCAGGCUGAAGUGACACAGAGGUUGAGUAAUGCUAAGGAAGCAGCCAACAAACCUGCAUUGCAAAGUCAUGAGGAUCUUGCACGGAAACUUCAGGUGACUUAUAAUUUGCAAUUUAAACCUAUGGGGUUUUAUGCCUCAGUUUCAUUUCUGCAUGGUACAAAUAUUAAGAUUUAAAUUUAAAUAGAGGAAUUUCUUUUUUGCUUAAUAUGGCAAUACUCAAGUCUGACCAUUAUUUUUGUGCUGAUGAGUCUAAAUUUGUUUAUGAAAUCACAUCUUGCUCUACCUACGCUGAGCUGAUAAAUUAUUUCAUUCUGUAAAUUGUUAAACAUGUUAAGCUUUUCUAGUGAGGAUGUUCAGAUUUCUUAUUUUGAGGGUGAAUCCUGUAUUUAUGAAAGCUGCUACUAAACUAUGAGUCACUUCUGCCCUUCCUAUUUCUCUUCCGUGGAUGUACUCACCUGCAGCUGUUUCUUAUUACCUUCUGAUUGACCAAUUUUGAAUCCAUUAAUCUUGUUGUAAUUUCCUCUUCUAUUUUUUUUCCCCUUCUGGAAAAAAUUUUAAAUUUUCAUUAACAUAUAAAUACCUAAUAAGCAUUAGAUCUUCCUGAAAAGGAUGUGAUCUGGCUAUAUCUUCCAUUAUGGCUACCUUGUUACAAUUUGCUCUACUUAACUGUUCCUGGCUCCGGCAUCACCCAGCAAUAAUUACUUGUUUUCAAAAUCCCAUUAACUCUUUCCUCAUGGUCUCCGUUUCCAACACACUAGAUCUAGUUGCUGAUUAUUGUUAUGAUACCUGAAUAAAUUUGACUUUGCAAAACAUUUCAUUGAAUUUGGAAAUGCUUCUUGCAGUUUUGGUUAAUAAAAUAUUGGAUCCUAGAUUUAGAUUUUGCCACCAUGGAGCAUCUAUUCUUUUAUAUGCCUGUAUGUCUACUUUUGGUUUUGUUUUUGUCCUGAUGGUGUUGAUUUGUGACAGGAGGAGAUGGAGAGAAAUCGCAAGGCAUCAUCAGGUAAUCUUCUGUGCUGGAAUAUUUGUUUUAUAUCAGAGGUGGCAGUUGUAUAUGCUUUAGCCUGUAGUCUUAUCUGUUAUCUUGUUCCACAUUUUGUAUAUGUAUGUGCACUACAGGACCUAUGAAAUGAAACUAGUAGAUAUCUGCGAGCUCACUCAAUAGGGGUUCUUUAGUUGGCAAUCUUCAUAAUUAAAGUCUAUGAUGUAGGACAAUCCUAAGAUAGUUGCCUACACUCAAGGGUAGGUGGGUUAGGGUUUUAUUUUUAGGUGUAAGAAGAGGAAUAAGGAAUAAAUUUUAUGGUAGAGAAAAAUAUAAGAUAAGAAAUAGAGAAAAAGAAAAAAAGAACGAAGAAAAGAUCGAAAACCUUAGAGUCUCAUUAAGGCCUUCUAGGAGUCACCUAAAAGAAAAUCAAUGGAGUCUCACCAUUGAGGGUUGCAACCUUGCAAGGAAAGAAAACAUAAUAUUAUUAAUAUCAAUCAUCCCUUUGAUUUACAUUUAUUAUCCUAUUUAUAGGUUUCUCUAAGAAAUCCAAAGUCUAUUAAGACUCUAGUAACCUAUUAUGAUUCUAAUUCUAAUUCUAAUUAUAACAUUCAAAGUCUACUAUGACUCUAAUAACCUAUCAUGAUUGAAAUUGAAGUUAUAUUAUAACUUAACUAGCUAAUCCUAAUUAGACUCCAACAAAUAUUAAUCCUAAUUUAAUUCUAAGUAAUAUUAAUCCUACUUUAAUUGUAACUAAUACUAAUUCCCUUUCUUGAUAUAUAUAUCUUGGAGAUUCAUCCUCAUCAAUUCCCCCCGACUUGAAAAAAAACUUGACCUUGAGUUUUAGUGAUUUUCCACGAUCAAUUGAAAUUCCAAGCUAUGCCUUCCACCCUUUCUUUCUUCGUCGUCUCUUUCCCAUGGUAAGAUAGGAUCUCAGGAUCUCUUGAACUUGUUCAAUUUCAUGCAAAAUAAAUACUAGACUUUGAAAAUUUUUUUGAUGUUGUACAACAAGUUGAUAAUUCUCCAAAUAAUUAUGUGUCUUCAACAAGCUUGUGGAAAGUUGUUUCCCACACUCUUCUUGUGAAUUGUCUUGUGGAAGAAUAAGAUUUUUGAAUUCCCUAUGUUCAAAAGAAAUUUUAGUAGAUUCUUCAUGUUUUCCACCACUCAUGAUAAUGCUUGGCCUUGGGAAGUCAAGAAUCGAUUCUUCUGAAGCUUCUACAAGUUCCUUGAGCUCUUCUACUGGUUGAUCUAGGAUUAGUUUCAUCACCUCUUGCUUUCUAAAUUCAUCAUUGAUGAUUUUUUCCUCAUUUCUAGUAACUUCGACUUGCUUUUUAGUAAGAGUAUUUGAUGGCUCUUCUAGUUUUAAGGCUGCUAAUUUUUCCUUUGGUUGCUUAUGUGGUGGAAUUUCCUUCAUUGGAUGAAGGAUCUUCUUAUGCCCAUUGCACACAAGUGUGUUAAGUGUUCUCAUAUCCAUCAUUUUGGACCCUUUCAUCAAAAAGUCAUGGUCUUCCAAGCAUAAUAUGGGCGGCUUUCAUCGGCAAAACAUCACACCAUGCUGAUAACUCAAAAUUAUUAUUGAAAUUAAACGUCACUAGACAACGAGAACUCACCAAAAUAGAUGUGUCAUUUACCCAUGCUCUUUGAUAGGGAUUUGGAUGAUCUUCUGUCUUUAUAUUAAGUUUCUCAACAAACUCCUCUGAAGCUAGAUUGGAACAACUACCUCCAUCAAUAAUCAAAGUACAUAGUCUCCCUUGGCAAAGCAACACGAGUAUGGAAGAUGCUAGUACGUCGCCAAUCCUCCUCUUCAUUUAGCCUUGGUAUGUUCACCAAUGACUGCAUAAAAAAGUUGUAGCCGUCAACUAUGUUUGCAUAUGUUGCUCCACUCCUCAAUUACAUAUGCCUUCAUGCCAAGAAUUUUUGCUUUGAUACCAAAAUUGAUGUACGACAACCCUAGGAUUGUUGCCUAGACUUAAGAGUAGGUGGGCUAGGGUUUUAUUUUUAGGGUGUAAGAAGAGGAACAAGGAAUAAAUUUUAUGGUAGAGAAAAAUAUAAGAUAAGAAAUAGAGAAAAAGAAAAAAACAACGAAGGAGUCUCACCUAGAAGAAAAUCAAUGGAAUCUAACCAUUGAGGGUUGCAACCUUGCAAUGAAAGAAAACAUAAUAUUAUUAAUCUCAAUCAUCCCUUUGAUUUACGUUGAUUAGCUUAUUUAUAAGUUUCUCUAAGAAAUCCAAAGUCUAUUAGGAUUCUAAUAACUUAUUAUGAUUCUAAUUCUAAUUAUAACAUCCAAAGUCUAUUAGGACUCUAAUAAUCUAUCAUGAUUUAAAUUCUAAUUUUAUUAUAACUUAACUAACUAAUCCUAAUUAGACUCCAACAAAUAUUAUUCCUAAUUUAAUUCCAAGUAAUACUAAUCCUACUCUAAUUGUAACUAAUUCUAAUUCUAAUUCCCUUUCUUGAUAUAUAUAUCGGAGAUUCAUUCUCAUCACUAUAUCUCAGUUAAUGCUGAUAAUUAUUGCUUGUCCUUGUGAAUGUUCAAUUUUAAUGCCCUUAAAGCUUGGGAUAGGUGGCCUGGCUCAAGUGGUAAAAAGGAUAGGGUGGGGAUGAGAGGAUGUUCUAGGUUUGAUUCAAUGAAUGAAAAAUAAAACAGUCCCUGUCAAAAAAAGAAAACAAAUAAUAAUAAAUAAAGACUAAAGAAAAAAAGAAUGGUUCAUAUUUUAGGUAAGAAUUCUAGUUAUUAGUCCAACCAAUAUGGCAAGUUCAAGUUUUUUUUUGAUGGAUAAAUAGCAAUAUAUUAAAACAAGGCACUUUAGAAAAGUGCCCCAAAGUACAUAGGUAGUUUACAAAGGAUGCCUAAGAGCGCCUCAAAAAAUUACACUUUGCAGGAAAAUCCCCUUGUCUUUUUGGUUCAAAGCCUUAUAAAGAUAUUUGACAAUAAAUUUAUCUUCCUUUGACUUUGUCCAUACCACUUGAUCUUCCACGUCACUACACACCCUCCUCCCUUGCAAUCUUGGAAAAAAACACUCUACAUCAAUCACCACCUAGUCAUUGAGAUGUCUAGAGAAACAAGGAUCCUAAACUCCCUCUCUAGAAUGGUUCCAACAUCUUCCACCCAAGCCUCUUUAGCCAACAAAAUAGCAAAUAAGGAGGGAAAAGAGGUGCACAAAGGAUUGUCUCCACACCACUUGUCCUACCAAAAUCUAACUUUCCUCUCAUUCCCCAUAGAAAAAACCAUAUUGCCGCCCACCAUAUCCCAUUCUCUCCUGAUGGCUUUCAACAAAACUACCCCAAAUCUUUCUCUCACUUCACAAGAAUGCCAGCCAUCCUUUUCUUCCCCAUACUUCCCACAAAUAACUUGCCUCCAAAAGGCCUCCCUAUCUAGUGCCAAACGCAAACUCCACUUGCAUAGGAAGGCCUUAUUAAUCAACACCAAAUUCCUCACUCCUAAACCACCCUUGCAUUUAUUUGAGUAGACAAUUGACUAACUAAAUGAGGCUUUCUCUCAAGAGCCCAACCUCCCUAAAGAAAAUCUCGUUGGAUCUGCUUUAAAUUCAAUUUAACUUUCCUUAGAAUACAAAGCAAAGACAAUAAAUUGGCAUACUAGAAAGAGUACUCUGAAUCAAGGUAUGCCUACCUCCUUUGGAAAUAUAUGGUCUUUUCCAAAGCCUUUCCUCCACACCAUCCCAAAUUUCCACAUCCUUGAAACGAGUACGCAAGGGAAGACCCAAGUAAGAAGAUGGGAGCGCGCUCAACUUGCAACCAAACUCAUGAGCCAACUCUCCUACAUUCUCUAGCCCCCCCAUCAGAAUGAGCUCACUUUUUUCCAAGUAUACUCUCAACCCUGGCAUUACCUCAAACCAUAUAAGUAGCCAACUCAAAGAAGUCAAUUGAUUCAGAGGAGGCUCACAGAAUACUGAAGUGUCAUAUGCAAACAACAAUUGAGAGAUUUCCACUCCCACUCCUCCUCUACCAUUAAAUUGCCACCCUGAUAAGACUCCUCCCUUAGCUCUAUUCAACAAACAACUGAGGGCCCCCAUGACAAUCACAAAAAAGUAAGGGGAUAGAGGAUCCCCCUGCCUUAAGCCCCCCAAGAGCUUUGGAAGAAACCAGUGGGAGUUCUGUUGAUAAGGACAAAGAAGCUCACAAUAGAAAUACACUAGUGGAUCCAACUAAUCCAUUUAGCUCCAAAACCCAUUUUUUCUAGCAACCAAAAUAUGAAAUUCCAAUUUACAUCGUACGCCUUCUUAAUAUCAAGCUUGCAUAGAAUACCACCACCAUCGCCUUUCUGCAUUGAAUCAAUAGUCUCAUUAGCAAUCAAAGAGGCAUCAAGGAUUUGCCUACCCUCCAUAAAAGCAUUUUGGGACCUAGAUACAACCUUUCCCACUAUCUUCUUAAGCCCAUUAGUUAACACUUUAGCUAACAACUUGUAAAGGCUAUCCACCAAGCUUAUAGGCCUAAAAUCCCUAAGAUCUUCAGCUCCCCCUCUCUUAGGAAUUAACACUAGAAAAGAGGCCUUAAUGCUCUUCACAAACCUACCACGUUCAUGAAAGUCCUUAAAAAACCCCAUAACUUCUUACUUCAAAAAAUCCUAAAUGAAUUGCCAAAAAUCCAUAGAGAAGCCAUUGGGUAUGGGAGCUUUAUCCCCACUAAGAUUUGAGAGAGCACCGAAUACCUCUUCCUCGGAAAAAAGGACCUCUAACAUCGCUGCAUCCUCACCUCCUAAGACCCCAACCGACAGCUCACUGCAGUUGGGUCUCCACUCCUUUGAUUCAGACAAAAGAGAGUGGAAGAAGUGAACCACCCCUUCUUUGAUCUCUCUCUCCUCUGCUACCAAAGUCCCAUUGAUCCUGCUCUUCACCAUUGGGUUUCCUCUCUUAUGAGCUGAGGCCAUUUUGUGGAAAAAAACCGGUAUUUCUAUCUCCCUCCCUCAACCAUAACUCCCUAGAUUUUUGCCUCUAAGAGGUUUCUUCCAUCAACACCCACUUAUUAUACUCCUCCAUAGCUUGCUUCCUGAGAUUCUGUUUUCUACAGACAAAGCCCUAUUCCCUUCUAUAGAUCCCAAAACAGCACCUGGUUCAAGGUUGCCUCUUUUCUAGUAGUAGUAUUUCCAAACACAUCUCUGUUGCAAAUCUUUAAAAUAGCCUCAAGCACUUUCAGUUUUUCAGAUAGAAUGAAAUUGAAGGACCCUCUGAAAUGGAGACGCAUCCACCAAAUUCUUAGCAAAUCCUUAAAACCAUUCUCCUUCAACCACAUAUUCUCGAAUUUGAACGGGGAUGGACCUUUCCUUUUAUGCCUCCACCAUGUAACAAAAAUUGGGCCGUGGUCAAAAACAGGUCUGCAGAGAAGACACUAAAGAACCCCACUGAAGUAGCACUCCCAAUCCUCAGAGACUAAGAAUUUUUCUAAUCUUGAUUGAAAUUGAUUGUUCAAUCUUCCCUUCCACAUGAAAGAACCCCCCUGCAAAGGGAGAUCCUGCAGUUCCAAGUCCUCAAUGACUACUGAAAAUCUUCUCAUUGUUGAAGACAACCUAGAAGCUCAUUUUCGCUCUCUCAUGAAUCUGAUUACAUUAAAAUCUCCUCCUAAGCACCAAGGAUCCUGACACAAACCCCCGAUAGUCCCCAACUCCUCCCAAAAAGCUUCUAUGAGCCUCCCAAUAGUAGUGGCCAUACCACCCCAUAAAAACCCAACAGAACCAUUCUCAAUAUUUUUAAAUCGAUUGGAAAUCAAAAAAUCCCUAAUUUCCAUACCAAUCAGCUUUAAUACCCUGUUAUCCCAAAAGACUAACACCCCCCCUACCAUAACCUGAGAAUUGAGAGCACCCCACUCCAAGAACCUGCCCACUCCUAAUGAAUGAACCAAGCUACACGAUAGACUUUAAAACUUAGUUUCCUGAAGACAAGACCAAAUCCGCUCUCUGAGCCGUAAUCACUGAUUUGAUCCUCUCACAUUCCAUGAAAGAAUUCUUAGGUGGUGUUUGGUUUUUUCUUCAAUUCUAAAUAGAAUUUAAAACUAAAUAGUGUUUAAUAGUGUUAAGUAUUAAUUUGUUUGUUUUUGUAAUAUUUUAUUUUUAUUAAGUAUUAAAAGGUAAAGAAAAACCAACAUGUAACUUUUUCUAUUAAGAAGAGCCAAAUAUUUUAGCUUUUUCUAUUCAGUCAAAAAUUUAUAAUAAGUUGUAAAAAAGUAGAAAAAUAAAUAACCUAAAGUUUGAAAGCAAUUUGCUUUCAGCAAAAAGUUAAAAAAGCAAACAUCCUCUUAGUCUCAUUUACCAACAGGAUCCAAACCCCAAUUCUGUCUAGAGAGAACUCUUCCACAGCCUGAACCUCUAAAGUUAAUUGAACAUUCCAACCUUCUAAGCUCCCUUUCAAACCUUUAGGAUCCAAUCUUACUCUUUUUAGAACCAGACAACUGGGCCUUCUGAUCUUUUCUCAUUUUCAAUUUUUUAAGCAAAGCUAAGAUCUUCUCCUCUUAGCCCUUAGUCGGCAUGCUCAGAAAAUUACUGAACUGAGCGAGGCAACUUGAGUUCCAAGCCUCAACAGAUUCUGCCUCAAACCCUAGCCUCCUCAUCUCACUGUACCUUUCCUCUUGACCCUCUUCCUCUACCACUACCAGAGCCCUUUCCUUCCCAGAAGAGAUUGCUGCAGAGCUACCGUCAGCCAAAACCACACUUAGGGGACAAAGGUUUGCUUCCACUUUCAAAAGCUCCACACCUGGGCCACAACCAUUAUCACAGGCCCCUUCUGAAACCCUUUCCUGACAAGAAGGGAAAGGGUGGAAUUGGUGUGACAUCAGAUUCUGUAUUUGAUCUACUGCUUAAACAUGAUUAGAACUUACAACUUUGAGUCCACUCAUCCAUCAUGUCAUGUACGUUCUCCACACUGUAUUUGAUUAGGCUUGUGUAGUUCACAAAAAUUGGCUUUUGUGUGAUUCAAUCUUUGUUUAAUGUCUUCCUGUUGUUGGGUGAUUGAUAAGUCAAGAUAUCAUGUUAGCUCCACUUUUAGAGUAUCAAACACCUUGCAAUGAAAUAGCUUGAGAAGUAUUUCCAGUCCUCAUGUUAUGAGCUAUGAUUUUACUCUUGCAGGCUCCAAGUCUGAUGGAUCUGGGAAGCGGAUGAAAGAAGUUGCCUGUCCCAUUUGCACUGUCCAUUUGCAGGUUUGAAAUUCUUUUAGCUUUGUAGAAUUUUAGGUUUGAAAUUCUUAAAUGUUAAAUGUAAUAUAACAUUUAUUACAUCAAAUGUUAUAAAUGUGGUGGCUGUAAUGCUGAUUAUUGCAGGUCCAAGUUCCCAGCUCAGGAUCUGAGACCAUUGAGUGUGGGGUUUGCCAGCAUCCUUUCCUUGUGAGUGCUCAUUGAUGGCAAACAAUUUCAAAUUAUCAUUGAAGGCAGCCUCAUGUCUCUGUUAAAAUUUUUCAUUAUUUUCUACUGGUUGAUAUUUUGAUAUUUGGUAAAUUUCUUGGUUCUGUGAGCUUUGAUCUGAUAUCAACUCAGUGUGUAUAUGAAGUUAAUUUUACUUUGGAGCCUAUCAAUCAAGGCACCUUUUAUGUAUAAAAUUGAUCAUUAUAUUCACUAAUGGAUUGAUGUGUUUGGUUCAUGGCAUAAGUAGUGGGUGGAUUUCUUGACACGAAAGAAGGAUAUUUAACCCAAAUAGGAAAUAUUUGAGGGAUACUUUGGUUUCUCAGUGGGAGAAUGGAUAUUUGUGAUGUGUUUUGUUACAGGAAAAAGUAAAGCUGCUUGCUUAUCUCAAUUUAUUAUAUUGAAUUGUAAUUAUAUGGUGGUUCCAUCAUGCCUAGCAUGUCUUCCCGCUCUCCCCCUGACUGAUACAUUGAAAAUCAUUAGAAGUGAUUAGCUUAGAUGUUUACUUUGCAAUUGGAGGGACUUAGGAAAAUUUUGAUCUUAAAUCAUAAGAUUUAGUGAAUAAAAAGUGAAGAUGGAAUUAAUUGAAUUUACAUUCACGAAAAUAAUGUCAAAAUAAGAAUAAUCUGUGAUUCCUUUCUGAGAUAGAAGAAACUUGACGUAGAUUCUGCGAAUAGUUUGAAGCUGAAUGUGGUAAAUUAUGCAGGAAUAAGAAUAAUAUUUGAUUCCCAUUUGCUAAAGUUGAAAUUAACGUGGACGAUAAUGUAAAUAGUUUAGAGCUGUAUGUGGCAAAAUUAAGUACUCCACGUAUAUGCUUCCAAUAUUGUUGUUGCUGAUGCUGCUGUUGGGAUACAUUACUCUUACCCCUAUGUUGUAAUGCCAUUCGAGGAAAGUUAUACCUUUAGCUUCAUAAAUAUAGUUGAUAUUAAAGGGUUUUCUUACUUGUGUCCUAAAAAGUGAAAAAAAAAAAAAAAAAAUGGGAAUUAGAAAAAAUGAUUUGCUUUAAGACCUGGAGAAGUCGGGCUGAUCUUUGCCCUACUACAAGUUAGACCUUUGGCCUUGGUGACAUUAAUUAAGCCAACUAAAACCAACCCCAUUGAUGGGUGGUUAAGUGUCCGUUGUCUAGCUGAUUGAUUCUUCCAUUAGGUGGUCCACUUUGAUUGAGGCUUUAAGCUAAUCCGAUAUGUACCCAAAAUUAAUGCUAUCCCACUCCUGUCUACUUGAGCCUUGGGCCACGUUAUUAUGGCUUUUCUAAUAUUGCUCAAGCCAACUGUUUCGCCUAUCUUAACCUGUUUUUGUCGUCUUCAUAGUUCAUACCAAUUGAGUUCAUGGAACGGUUGAAAAGGCCAAUCAAUCAUUUGACUCAAAUUAUUUCCCCUUGGCCUAGGCAAUAAAUCAUAUGGUUGAAAAAGCCAUUCAGGGGACCCAAAUGACCUUCCAGUUGAAAAUUGAAAACUGAAAUCAUGGUAGACAGGUGCACAUUUACUACGGCGUUGCAGAAGUUUCCAUCCACCGCCAAGAACGUGAAUUUAUUUAACGUGGCUUAAUUAAUUGAUGGUGCCGUUUGAGAAAGGGCAUUGAUGUGGAGAUUCGGCCGACACGAAGCGAGUGGAGCGUUGUUCACUGCUGAUGCUGGGUGCUUAGGUCACGGAUGUUAUUGAAAAGGAGAGUCUCCUAACUCACAUUAUCACACCUGCCCUCUUCCCAAACCUCUCUCCCAAUUCCCAACCCAAAUACCCAAUAUGGUGUCCCGUUUUUUACCAAAAUAUUAUUUUUUGAAACAAUUUUCCAAUGUAAACGAACCAAGACCUAUUUUCCAAAUAAAAUUAUUUUGUUUAAUAUGGUGGAUUUUGAAACAAUUUUUUGUUUCCAAAGUCAAUUUUAUUUUUUAUCUAUUCAUUGUAUUAAUAAUUAUUCAUCAAAAUAUUAUUUGAAAAACGCUUAAAAAACAUCUCAAAUUUUAUUUUCAAAAUUCAUCAUGGUUUUAAAAAUAAUUCUUGAAAAGCUAUUUUCAAUCUAAAAUUUAUCAUGCAUAUUUUUAUAGCUAAAAAUCAUAAUUCUUUUUUUUUUUAGGAUAUCCGAUGUAAGCAUAUUUGAGAUUAACUUAGUCGAACAUGAUUCAUCCGGUAUAAUAAUUGGUACAAAAAUUAAAAAUCAAUUUUUUUUUUUAAUGUUAGACAUGAGGACGUAAUAUAUUUUUAUUUUAAAAUUUUGAAAUAUCAGAAAAGAAUAAAAAAUAUUAUUAUAAAAUAUGUUAAAAUAUUAUAUUCCACCUCUCUUAAGUCUUCACCAACAAUCAACUUUUCACAAAAUAUCUCAUUGUGAAUGCCCAAAAUAGUCCACUUUAUUAUUAUUUAUUAUUUUUUAUCUUUUGUGUUUUUAAUUCUCAUAUCGUAUUAAAAUAUGUUGUCGUUUGAAUAGUUGGGAGGUGGCUUCUAUAAUAUUUCGCGUGAGUCGAGGAGAGGGAUAGGGGAAAGUGGUACCUGUGGGCAAUGCCAUUAAACUAUCAUUUCAACCCAAAAUAUAUGACAGGUUGGAUUUUGUCUUUAAAAAACAAUUUUUGAUAAAGUUAUCUAUAAAAUUAAUUAUUCUAUAUAUAUAUAUAUAUAAUUUUAAUUUUAAGAUUAAUAAUUAAAAAGAUUAAGCAUAUUUUUAAAUAUAAAUUUUUUUUACCAUACUAAAAUUUCAUAAUGAUUAAUGAUGUAAUUAAUUGGAGAUUAGAAAUUAGAAUAAUAAUUAGGAUUGAAUUAUGCUUGAUUGUCCAGAAAAUGUUAGUAAUUUUUGUAAGUUAAAACUUAUUUUAUGUAGUGUAUUUUUGGAUUUAUGGAGUUGCAAUUAAAAUACUUGUUUCAUUAUUGAGAUUAAUUUAUUAAAUUUUGAUUUUUUAACUUAAAAAAGUAUUAAGUCCUAACUUUUUAUUUUCAAAAUUAUUUAAAAAUGUUAAUGCCCCUGAAUAUUUAGAUGAAUAUGAAUUAUGUUUUGAAAUUUUAAUUAAUUUUUUAUUGGAAAUUGAUGGUUGUUGAAUUAUUGUAGUUUUAUUGCACAUAAGAAGUUGAAUUUUGAGAAUUUGCAGUAAAUUUAUUUAUAAUGUAAAUUAAAUGAAUUUUAGUGUUGUUUAACUUUAUUUUAUGAACAAAAAAUCUACAAUAAUUUAUAGAAUUUAAUUUCAUUAUGAAUGAAUUAGAAGGCAAAAAAUAUGUGGUAAAAUUUUAGUUGUGGAUUUGAAAUUUUGUAGAUUUUUUUUGGAUUAAAUUAUUGAUAAAUUUACUAUUUUUUAUUAAAUUAAUUUUUAUUCAAAAUGUUCAAAAUUAAAGUAAUUUAACCAGUUUUUAAAAUAGGGGUCAUCCAAAAUUUUUUAAAAUGAAUUUGGUUUUAGUUUGAAUGAGAAAUUAAAUGUGAAUAUUAUAACAAAGUGAAAGAUUCAAAAGCAAAAGGAGAAAGUGACUUUUUUUCAUUAAGACAAAAUUGUCUUAAGAAAAGUGAUAAAUUAAAAAAAAAAAAAAACUAUUUAUUUAUUUUAUUUAAGUAAAACAAACAAAAAAACCACAAAGUAUAACUCUAGACAUCAAUUGAAAGUUACACUUAAAAAAAUAUUAUUGAAAUACAUAUUAUAUUAAACAUUUAAAUAAAAAUCAUAUAAUAACAAAAUCAAUUAUCAAAAUAAACUGAAAUUCAUCUUUAAUUUUUAAUGUUUAGUUUCAUUAAAUUUAUCAUUAGUAGAAACUACCUGAAUGGAAAUACAUAAGUGGUUAAAAACUUCAUAUAUAUAUAUAUUUAAAAUUUUAAUUUAUCCCAUUUUUAAUAUUCCAAUGAUUUUAUCAAUGAAAAGAGAAAAUCAAUCACACACCAUACGUAGGUAUAUGAAAAAAAUUCCCACAUAUUUCCAUAGAUGUAAAAGAACAUGCGUUUAAUGGAUGCAAUUAAAUUUACUAAAUAUGAAAGAAGUUAUCACAAUCUUAUGUGAUAUGGAAGCACUUGCCCUUAGAAGUCUAGUAUUGGCCAAUACCAAAUCAACUAUCUAAUAGAUGACCAUAACUCAAUUGAGAGAGCAAUAUAAGUAGUCUCUAGAAAAUAACAAAUAUCAAAGUACAUCCAACCUAAAACACUCUUUUGCAAUAUUUAAUAUAUAAAAAGAAAUAUAAAAAUACAAAUCUUAUGGUGGAAAUGAGUGUGAGCUAGGUCCAAAUUGAGAUGUGAAUAAUGACUCCACUAUUGCAAGUUACUCCUUCAUGCUCUAGAUUCGAGUCUUCAACAAAUCUAAUCAUGAGUCACUAAUAGCUUUGCAAGUAGUCAUCCCGUUUACUAAUCACACAAGCUAUUGGAUAAGAUUUACUGUUGAGUUAUCAAUAUAGGUGUUAGUGCUGGGAAUCCAAAUUACUUCAUUCCUUAGCCUUGGAUCACGUAGGGCGCAUGCAUCUAUCCAUAGGGUUCUCUAGAUUUAUCAUAGAGAAAACACAUGGCAUUAAAAACCAUUAUAGAAUAAAGAUCUAGAGAUAGAAAAACUCAAACCUAUGAUUUGGAUAUUCCCAAAUCAAAUUUCCUUCCAAUGAAGACUCUAAAUCUGUGGUGGUUGUUGUAGAAGUCAUUUACCCAACAAUCUUCCACCCGAUCUCUCCCUCCAUGGGUCAUGACAUGGGAGAAAUGUGGGCUUCUUUCUCUUUUCUUAAGGAUAGUUAGGGUUCCUUUCUUUAGAAUUUUAGAAAACUAAACUGUAAGCUUGAAGCUUUAACCCCUAAGAUUAUAAAGGCUUCCUCGUGGGCUUAAGUCACUUAAGCCCAAAUUGGGCUUAGGUCACCUAAUCUAUCUCACUUGAGUCUUAAUUAAUUAAUUAGUCCUAAUAAGCUCUAAUCAAUUAAUUAACCCAUUCCAAAAAGUUAGUUUAUAAGAUCUAAUCGUUAUCCACACUUAUGAACUAUAUACCAAAAAUACCCUCAAAGUGUGUGCCACCAUGAAUUAGGAGCUUGAAUAGGGACUAUUGAGACCCAUAGGAAAAUACUGGCUCAUUUAGAAUCCGAUUAUGAAGUUGGUUGACACUCCACUAAACAGAGUCAAGUGCACUUCAAUAUCUUAUGAAAUUACAAUAAGACAAAACUCAGGUCCAUAACCUACUAUCCAUUGCAUGCAAACUUCCUAUGAACUGAUGUUCGUAAUUUAAUGGGAUAAUGUUAUCAACCCAUUAAAAUUAUCUGUCCAAUCUUUAAGUUACAAAUUUACCUAUUAUGCGAUCAACUGACAUGCUCUAUCUCCAAGGAGCAUAUGUCAAAUUCCACUAAAUGAAUUAAUGCAACCAUAUAUUUCAUGAUCACAUGUCCUUUGGAUCACCCAAAGGGACACGCUAUUUCAAUCUUAUGAGAUAUCAUGGUGUCUCUAUUAAGAAUACCUAUUGCCACUAGCCUCCAUCAAUAUCAAUAGUGACCAAAUCUGUAUGGAAUAUUUGACCACUUUAAGAUCUUAUCCAUAAGACAAAGUCUCCUGUUGAUUCAAUAUAAGCUAAAUUUCAUUUCAAGGUUAAGAGUCCAUACAAUAUAGUAGCUUGGUGAAUCAUGACAAUAUGAUAGAUUUACAUCAUGAUUUAUUGUAGGUCUUGUCCAAUAUGUAACUGUAGGACCUCAGGUGCAACCAACUCUCCUAAAAGCAAUUGCUUGUAGGAAAGGCGCAUACCCUAGCCUUAUAGUGCAUUCACCUAAGCGCCCACGACGAACACAAGGGGAGUUGAUGGACGCGGACAACCCUCCAAUCUUCCAAAAUUCCCCCCUCCUCCCAACGACAUCCUUGGGGUUUAAACCCGUGACCUCGACUCUAAUAUCACUUGUAGGACCUCAGAUGCUACCAACUCUCCUAAAAGCAGUUGCUUGUAGGAAAUGUGCAUACCCUAACCUUAUAGUGCAUUCACCCAAGUGCCCACGACGAACACAAGGGGAAUUGAUGGAUGCAGACAACCCUUCGAUCUGCCAACAAUAACAAUACACAUUAGUAUACUCACUAGGGACAACUUAUCUCGAUGACUGAGACAAAUUAUCCCUCUAUUAAGGAAGUAAUGCACUAUGGUCUUUGCUGGAUUGCCUAAAUCCAUGAACCAACUAUAAACAACUUAUCAUCUUGUAAGAAACCCAUGACUUGUACCCUCUGUGAACUCAUGUACAAUGCAAGUGAUAUGAGUUCAAUGCUCAAAUCUGUUGGGAUUAAGUCUCUAAAAUCAAGACAUGAUGUAACAAAGUCAAACUUAACUGUUUUCUUACUAUCCCUUUUAUACAUUGAUAUUAAUUUAAGCAUUCAAUUUAUAUCUCUUAAUUUAUACAUGACUUAAGUGCAUUAAGAGUUGUAUAGAUGAUAUAAGUUAUGAGUUCCUUGUAAAUAGAUAAGUUGUCUAUAGUCAGUUUAUAGAUUUGAGCAAUCUAGUAGAAACUAUAGUACAUUACUUUCUAAUUAGAGGGGUGACUUAUCUUGGCUUUUGGGAUGAGUUUCCCAUUGUGAGUGCACUAGUGUAUGUGAUGCACAUUAAAUAGGACCUAUAGUGAAUUAUAAUGUAAGGCUAUCGAUAAUCAUGAUUCACCAAUUUACCCUAUAAUUGGCCAUUUAGACAACACCAGACGAAUCCCACAUUGGAAAAAUGAGUGACCCAAAGUUCCAAACUUACCCUAUAAUUAGCCAUUUAGACAACACCAGUGAACUUCAUUCAAAGAAUUAUGGAUGGGUAUGACUUUGGGCUUACUUAUUUGGUAGGCUUUAAGAAAUAAGUUAAAAAUUUGUUUGAUCACUUAGGGCUUACUAAUUUGAUGAGCUUUAAGAUAAAUUUAAAACUUAGUUGGAUAUUGGGCUUAUGAACUUGAUAUUCAUAAAUGGGUUUUUGAAAAAAAGAAAAAGAAAAGAAAAGAAAAGUUGAGGUGAAUUGGUUGUGUCGACUCACUAAUAGCGGUUGGACUGUCGGUUUGAUCGGUUUGAUGUCAGUUCAACUCUAUUCUAGCUCAACUAGGUGAACCAAAUCGGAUUAAGGUCCAUUUGAUUGUUUGACUGGUCAAAUUGAUAAGUUCAAUUCGGUUUUUAUAACAUUGGUAAGAACCUAUAUAUCGAGAAUAAAUUGACCCAUGCUGACAUCCCUUAUGAUGAAAAUGCAAUGAACAAAUUGAGAAACUAAACAAUAAAUCUGAGUGUGGUCAGAAGUAAGGCUGAACAUAUGAAUGUGCCCAAAAGUCAAGUUAGCUUGACUACAUCUAUAAGUGGAAUAUAAAAGAAUAAGGGGUUCAACCUUCCUUAAAGAGGAUGAACUAUGACCUCACACUUAGAUGGUGAAAAAGUUAGGACAUUAGGUACCAUUGGUAGAGCAAAGCCCUGGUAUAAUGUAAGACUCGUGACUUGAUAGAUAAGUCUCGGGGUGAGAUUGAAAGUGUACCUUUACAUGAUAGAUAAGUCGAAGAUGUUCAUAUAGAACAUUCAUGUAUAAUGAAGUUUAACAACCCCCUUAAUUGAAUGGAAAGUCAAGGGUUUCUACCCAUGAUCACAAAUAAUAUAGGGGAUUAAAGUAUCCUCAGAAGUGGAAAGAUCCAUUUAGUACUCAAUCUCAACACUCAUCUCAAAUAAUCGUUGCUAGAAAGUCUCCUUAUGCUUUGGAGAUUGAAAGUAAAGGAUAGAGAGAUAUCAUUUAUGGUAUAAGAAUGAUGGAUUAGAGUCUUAGGGCUUGAGAACCUAAAAGAAGAUGUGGGUUUCUACCUAGUAUCUGUACAAGGUGCCAUGAAGGAAAUAAGAAUUAACCUAAGAAAUUGUACGAUUAGAAGUAUCUUAGAAUUUGAGUUGAAAUGCCUGAUUGGAGCUAAUAUAUGUGCUCUCCAAUGACAUAAAUAUGACAUAUUUUAUGUAUUAUAAAAAGUUCAAACAAUCAAACUUAACUUAAAUGCAUAAUAAGACCUUAGUUAUGGAUGUAACUUUUAUUUGGAGCUUAAUUCUAGGUUUAAGGGAUGAAAAGAAUGGUAAGUACAAAAGUCAUUCUUAACCGAGAGAGUAGAAGGGUUUGAAUAUGCAUAAAUGAAAGUCUCCAGACUUGUGAACCAUGAAGAGUCCAAGCAAGGGCAUAAUGAGUAAGUUAUAGGCAUGAAAUACUAGCAAAAAAUGUUAUGAAGUGAGAUAGAGGGCAAACAACCAUAAUGGAGGAAGUUUAAAGCAAAUGCAAUCAAGUUCACAUGGAAAUUUGGAACUCAAAAUCUGGCCACAACAUGUACUCUGAAUUUGAGGUGAAAUUUGGAAUGCCAUUUUUAGGCAUGCUAUAUAUCAUUUCGAAGCUUGGGAAGUAAGGAGUCCAACACUUUAAGCCAUGUGUGAAUCGAAGUUGAAAGGAGGAAGUUAUGUGCAUUGGGAGCAAACUAGCAAUAGGUGAGUUCGAAAUUCAUAAAGAAUUUCAAACUCACAUGUUGGACUUCGAAUUAGCCAUUUUUCCUCCACUUAUGAGUUCGAAAUUGAUUUGAAACUAACCUUAAUUUGAACUAAGCCACUGGUGAUCAAGUUUUUUGUCCCAAAACAUGUUGAAAUGAGUUCCAAAUGCCUCCAUUCAAUUUGACAUGCAUGAUACUUAUUUAGAAUUUUUAAUAAUUUAAGUCUUUUAGAAUAUUUAUGAUUUUUCUUUGUAAUAAGUGGCCAAUGGGAGUGUGCUACAUGUUAGGUUAUUGAAUUUAUUAUAAAAACUUUUUUAGUUCUAGGUUUUAGGAAUAAAAGGAGGAAAAAGAGAAGAUGAUAGAAUGUAGAAAAAGAGAUUGUUCUCUCAAGUUGAAAGUUUUUAAUAAAGUUUUAAGUUUUCUCUUAUUUUCUUUUCUUUUUUCAUAUUGCAUUUUAUUUUCUUAGUAACAAAACAUGAGUUGUGAGAAGAAAUCCUCCACCAUGUUUGGCUAACUUGAUUGAUCCAGAGAUGCUAACAUGAGGGUGAAGAAUCCAAAGAAGAGUAACAAAAAAUAGUAAUGUAUUAAAUGGGUUGAUUUUUUUUUUCACGUUUUAAUUGGUAGGAAUAAUUCCUUUAUGUUAAAUCACCUUAGAUAAAUUACAGAGGAUUCUUAUCAAGAGACUAGUGAUUCUUGGAAAGAUCUUAAUCACUAGUUACAAUAAUUUGAUCCUGUCGUUAUUAAAUCUUAAGGCUAAAUCUACAAAGAUGGAUAUAAACUUUUGAUUGAAUAAAAUUGAAAAUCAAAAUUAACCAUCAUAACUAAUUGGUUUAAGAAUUAUAACAAUGAGAUUAAUGAUUGGUUGGGUUAUGAAUCAUGAAUAUUUAAUCCCAUUUUUGUGAGUUAUAUUAGGGAAUGAUAUGGUAGGUUAUUACUAGUCGAUACUUGUGAUUCUUGGUAACUCUUGAUUAUUAGUUAUCAUGAUCUUCUUUAUCGUUAUCUAUCCCAAAACAAAUCUACAAGGAGUACGAAUGGUUAAAAAGACAAACCUUAAAUCAGUAAUUAAUUUCAUUUAUUUGAUGGUUUUAGGAAUUUGUUUUAUAAAGGAAAAAUUUAAGUUUGGAUGCAAUAUUGGUCUUAAGAUUCAAUUUGAUUACAUAUUAACUUUGGUCUUAAGCCCUAGAUUUAUAAUGCUCUCUCUUUAAGGAUUUGACAUUGGAUUGUGAAACUCUUCGAAACAUUCUUACUUUUAUUUGAUUUAUUUUAUUAAAUAUGUUAGGAAAUAUUUAUUAUUAGUUUAUGCCUACUUAUUUAAAUUAGGUUUUCAUCUUAGCAAGUAAUUAAUCAUUUUAAUCUAAGAACAAAUAUACAUAUUAGAGCUAAUCUUAGAGGAUGACAACCCUGAAUACUACAAAAUCAUGAUAACUCUAUCUUUGGUUUUUCUUGACUAGAGUUAUCAUGUAUUUAAGUUUUAUAAUUUUAUUUACAAUAGAAAUUUGCGAUCAAUGCCCUACGAAGAUAUAUUUGAAGUGACACUGUGUAAAAACUUGAGAAAAUGUUCAUAGGAAAUGAGAAAAUAUAGAAUGUAGGAAGGAAAGGUUGAGAAGAAAAUGAGAAAUGAGGUAUUAAAAGGUUGACGAAAGCCUUUCUAUAGAAGAGCAUUUGAACUUCCUACUUGGAAUGUUUGAAUGUUCCUCACUAAUUUGGAUCUUUCGAACAUUUAAUGUCUAACUUUCAAACAUCUUAUGCAUUUUUUGUACUCUAACUCCCAAUUUCAUUAUUUCAAAAAGUUUAUCAAAUAUUUUUACUUACUUUGAUACCACUUAUAAUUUUAUUCUUGAUUUCCAAAACUAACUAGAGGGAGAGAGGGGAGGGGAUCGUGUGAAUGGAUAGUCUAAACAAUUUAUUCCAAUUUUUGAUAUUCAAAAUAUUUUACCAUUGAAGAUAAAAUCAAUUAUACACCAAGUAUAUUAGAUGACACACCCUUGUGUUGAGGCUACUGGAUUGUCACAUCCUUUUUCUUUGCUAAAAUCUUUUUCAAGAUUGCUCUUGAAAGCUCUAAGAGAUGGAGAUUUUAGGAUGGGGAGAUGAUUGUUUUCUUGUGCAAAAUUUUCAACUUUAGAAAGCCUUUAUUUAUAUCAAAACUCUUAGAGAGUAUUUUGGAGGGAUUUUUUGAAAAUUAAAAUUAUUAAAGAACAACUUAAAAUACGAAAAUGGAUAAAAAAAAGAAGAAGAAAGAAAUGAAAGUGGAGACAUCAGCUUUUGAACCCCUGGCAAGGCAUGUUUGAACAUCUUGUGGAUGUUUGAACACCUAGUAGCAAGAGUUUGAUUGCCCAUGAACAUUUAAAUUAACAUUCCAUGUGUGAACUUCAUGAAGUUUGAACAUAUCUCAUGCAUGAGGUUCAAAUGACCAAUGUGUGAUGUUUGAAUGGACGAUCAAAUGCCCUAUGUGCAACGUUUGAACAUCCCAUGCGUGACAUUUGAAUGUCCUCGCUUCAUUUCGUUUGUUUGGUUUUGUUUUUCGAAACAUUUUUUUUCAUAAUUUCACCUAAUACACAUCUAUUAGCUAUUUCUUGUAUUCUAAAAUAUCAAAAUUAUUUGAUAUGAAUUGAUAAUGAAGCAACUCAAACUCAAUUCUAAUUGAUAAGACAUUCUAGAAUAUUGUAUAUUAGACAAAAUACUACAAUUGAAUAAAAUUGUCAUCCUAAUUUAAUGCAUCAACAACUAAUUUUAAGUAUCGCUCUCUCAGUCUUUAAUUUUCAAAUUGCUGUCUUUUUCUUUGUUCCUGACAAUUUUCAUACUUCAUUAAGGGAAGAAUUUUUUUUCCAUCAUGUACAAAAAAAGUCAUCCAAAUUAAAAGGAAAAAAAAAAAAAAAAUCAUGUAUUGAUUUGUAACUAGAAUAGUUAACUUAUUUAUGAGGAAGUGUGGGAUCCCACUUGGAAUGUCCCAAAGGAGAGUCAGAUCAUGGUCUCUUGCCAGUACAUAAAGAUCUUAAGCAGCAUGACAUUAGAACCAAUUUUUCAACCUCCUCUCAUAGGCUUUUAGCUUAGACAGGGUUUCAAACAAAAAGAGUGGAUGAAAAAUGCUUUCAUCUUCUUCUUCCACUAUUCCACUCCUUGUUUUCGUUUUUAUUUCUUUAUGCAGCACAGAAGCCCUGGUAAAGCUACCGGACAAUGAAAAAGUUCCAGCAGUGAUAGUUUUCGGAGAUUCGAUCGUGGACCCUGGCAAUAACAACAAUCUUGUUACUGUGGCUAAGUGCAAUUUUCCACCCUAUGGGCGGGACUUCAUUGGCGGAAUUCCAACCGGAAGAUUUAGCAAUGGCAAAAUUCCUUCCGACUUCAUUGGUCCGUCCCCAUUCUCCUCUUACUCUUUUCUCCUGCACCCCCUCAUGUCUCCUUCUACAGAUCGAUGAAACACCCUUUUUCUUUUUUGGUAUUUAGGAUUAUUUAUAUUUUGAAGGAGUAAAUAGUAAAUACACAAGACUCCUACAUUAAACUGUUGACAACUGAAACCAAAUUACAUUUCUGUCCCAUUUGUUAAAUUUUCGCAGAAUAAUUCUCGAAUGAUAACAUGUUCCUUUUCUUUUUGGUAUGUUUGGAUUAUUGAAUGUUAGAGAUAUUAAACUAAUCUUUUCUCUCACUUUGAGCAACAGCCGAAGAAUUGGGAAUCAAAAAGUUACUGCCGGCAUACUUAGACCCAACUCUUCAACCUAGUGAUCUCCUCACUGGAGUAAGCUUCGCUUCAGGCGCUUCAGGAUAUGACCCUCUAACACCUAAGAUUCCGGUACAUAAAUUUUCCUUCAAAGAUGAUAUUAAAUUAUUAACCAUUUCCUUACUUUAUAUUUAUAUUUAAUUUUCUUUCCACUGUCUGGUAAAAACAAAAAAAAUCAGUCAGUUUUUUCACUGUCGGAUCAACUAGAAAUGUUCAAAGAGUACAUAGGAAAGCUGAAAGGCAUGGUUGGAGAAGAAAGAACAAACACCAUUCUAAGCAAAAGCCUAUUUUUCGUGGUACAAGGCAGUAAUGACAUUACCUCUACAUAUUUCAACAUACGCAGAGGGCAGUAUGAUUUUGCUUCUUAUGCAGAUCUUCUGGUAAUCUGGGCUUCUUCUUUCUUUAAGGUACUUUCAAUUGCCAUGCUCUUCCAAUUCCAAUUCCUAACAUACAAUUAUUUAAUAAUUAUCUUAUAUAAAGCAAAUUUUAAAGGAAUUGUAUGGAUUGGGGGCACGAAGAAUAGGUGUUUUCAGUGCACCUCCGUUAGGGUGCCUGCCAUCACAGAGAAGCUUAGCAGGAGGGAUACAAAGAGAGUGUGUAGAGAAGUACAACGAAGCAUCCCAGUUAUUCAACACUAAGCUCUCAUCUGGAUUGGAUUCUCUCAACACCAACUUUCCCCUUGCAAAGUUUGUGUAUGUUGAUAUCUACAACCCCUUGCUUGAUAUCAUCCAAAACCCUCAAAAAUCAGGUAAUACCUCUUGUUUUGUUUUGUUCUGUUUUUCGGUUUUCUUUCACGGGUAUGGGAAAAUCUAUUAUCCACUUAAUUGUUUCAGGAUUUGAAGUAGUGAAUAAAGGAUGCUGUGGCACGGGGUUAAUAGAGGUUUCAGUGCUAUGUGACCAAUUGAAUCCGUUUACUUGCAAUGAUGCGACCAAGUAUGUAUUUUGGGACAGCUAUCAUCCUACAGAACGAGCGUACAAGACUAUAAUUGGUGAGAUCUUCCAGGGAUAUGUGGAUAGCUUCUUCUGAUCAGACUCAUUCCUCUUUCAACAACCCAUAUACCAACUGCCUUAAUUAUUUGUACUGGUGAAAUUGAAUGUUAUCCUCCUGUUUUUGUGAUUAUCUUAUGUAUCAAUCCCAAUACAACAUAUUCGAGGGACAAUUGUGUUUUCAACCCAUAUUGGGUUUAUAAUUAAGAUAUGGUCCUCCAAUCAUCCAUAAUUAAUGAUAAGGAUAUGAAAUAGUAAUUGAAAAAAAUACCCAUUUGACUCAUUUUUGUCUUUAUUCUAUUACUUGCCACUAUUAUUUCUUAUUUAACCAUUUUUGGAUUUUUCCUUAUUUUUUUAAACUCUUUUAUAAAUAAUUGAAAAUUUAACAUUAUUUUUUAUUUUUAAAUUAUAAAAAAAAUUAUAUUAAUGAUUCAAAGACUAUUUUGGAAAAUACUUUCUAAAAAAAUAUUAAUUUAAAUAAAUAAAAAUUAUCUUUUGCAUUUAUUUUUAUCUUUUACAUUUUAGAAGUAAAUAAUUUAAUGAUUAAAAUACCAUUUAAAAUAGAUAUAUUCACUAUUUUCAUUUUUUUAUACUAAAAAGUAUUUUAAAGUUUUUUUUUACUAUUAUAAAAUAAAAAGUUUAAUUUUUUUUUUAAUCUUCUUCCUUCCUUAUUUUAAUAACUUUUUGAACAUGAUUUUUAGUAAUAAGUUAUAUGAAAUGUUACAAAUUUGUUUUAAAAUAUUAGUAUUAUUUAUUUGUUCUAACUUGUAAAUUAGGUAUCAUCAAAUAUUAUAUUUUUUCAAAUUUAUACAACAUAUAAUAAAUACUUUUUAAAUACCUCAUAAAAUAUUAUUAAUUUUUUUUUCUAACUUGCAAAUUAGACACAUGGUGUUUAUUAUUUCGAAAAUAAUGUAAACACUCACAUGCAUAUAUAUAUAUAUAUAUAUAUAUAUAUAUAUAUAUAUAUAUAUAUAUAUAUAUAUAUAUAAUAUUAAUCAAGAAGACAAUAUUUUUAAUACUAAUUUACCAACCUUCCAAUAAUUUUGAAAGUGUAAAUUGGGUAAUUGGCCGAAUUAAAGUCUUCAAAAUAUUCAAAAUUUCUCCAUUCCAAAAUGACCUAAUUGCUCUCCACACUAAUCCUAAAUAUUUUUUAAUAAAGAUUUAAAUAUUUAAAAUCAUUAAAAUAAAUAUUUUCUUAUUAAAGCAAUUUUUUCAAAGUAAAAAUCAUGAAAUCUUCAAAACUAUAAUUACAACAAAUAUUUUUAAUUUUAAAACUAAUUUCAUAAUUUAAAUUAAUGAUUUUAAAAAAUAAAAAUGUUAUAAAAAUAAUUUUUGUUUAUUUUUAAUUCCAUUUAAAUAUUAUUUUUUUAAUCUCUAUUGAUAACAAUGAAAUUAUGUUUAUAAAGGCAAAAUAGUAAAAACAUAUAUUUCAUUUAGUUUACUUAUAAUGAACAAUUCAAACAUGAUUGAUUUUAAUUUUAUUUCUCAUGUGUUAAUUUUUGUAGGGAAUGUCAUAAUGACAUAGUUUGGUAGAAAAAAAAAAAAAAACUAUCAAUAAUUGUCUUAAUAUCAAUUUCAAGUUGUUUAAAAAUUGUACAAAACCUAUUACGAGUCUUAUACACCCUUGUACACUUAGCACUUUUCUUUUGUACAGUUAGUGUAAUACCCUUGUACAAUAACACAAAUUUCAUAUUUCUCAUAAGUUAUAUGUUCAUGUAGGUAUAUUAAUCAUAUUUUCAAUGGUUUUGUUAAGAAAAUGGUGGAUGAGUUAUGAUCAAUUUUUUUCCCCAAAUAUCAUUAUUGGGGAAAAUAUUAGAAUUUCCAUGUGAGAGUUAAAUAAAAUGCAUGACAUAGGCGUACAAUCUUUGGGUGACAAGGAAAAUAAAAAAGUGGUUUAAAAUUGAUUAAAAUAAUCUACAAAGGGUAAUCUUGUACAUAUUUGUACAAUUAGUACAUUUUCCUUAUACAGUUAGUGUAAUACCCUUGUACAAUGACACAAAUUUCAUAUCCCUCCUAAGUUAUGUGUCCAUGUCCAUGUAGGAGUAUUUAACCAUAUUUCCAAUGAUUUAGUUGAGAAGAUAGUGGAUGACUUAAUAUCAAAUUUUUUUUCCCCAAAUAUAAUUAUUGGAGGAAUUAAAUAAAGUGCAUGACAUAUAUACAAAAUUAUGAGUGAUAAGAAAAAUAAAGGAAUGACUCAUAAUCUAUUAUAAUCUUUCACAAAUUGUAACCUUGUACGUCUUUGUACACUUAGUACAUUUUCUUUAUACAGUUAGUGUAAUACAAUUGUAUAGUGGCGCAAUAAAUGAAUAAAUAAUUUUUUUUUCAUAUAAAAAAAAUAGUACUAAACAAGGUUUUCAAUUUUCAUUUUUAAAAAUAGUUCUCAUUUUUUAAUUAAACAUAUUUUCAAAAAGAGACAAUAUAGAAAAUAAAAAUUAUUAUUUUUUUUUUAAAAAAAAACUAGAAAAAUAUUUUAAAACCAAACUCAAAUAUAAUCUAUAUAAAUUUUAGUUACUUGUUUUCAUUUAAAAUAAGUAAAUAUACAUUUUAACCCUUUUAUAUAAGAAAAAUUCAAUCUCUACUAUGUAUUGAUAUAAUUCACUUCUAAAAUUAGGUCAUAUGAAAACAUUUUAAUUGAGUACUUAAAAUAAAAACUCUUCAUCCAUCAUCUUUAUUUAUUUAUUCUUAUUUUAAUAAAUUUUCAAUUAAUUCAAAUCAUUAAAAAAAAUUAACUUAUUACUAAAAGUCAUGUUCAACAUUGUCUAUUACCUUUCAAGUAAAAAAUUAGAUAAGUUUGAAAGUCAAUAAAAAAAAAUUAAAUACCACUUUCAAUAAUUUUUAGAUAAAAUUUUAUAUAAUAUAUUUUAUUUGAAAUUUAAUUUCUAAAGUUUAACUAAAAAAUUGUAUUGACAAUUUUCUUGUUGUGAAUCAAAAUACUUUGCAUUAGUCUAUCUAUAUAAGAAAAAUUAUUAAUAUAAUAUUAGAACUUUAUAUCUGAGUUAUUUUUUUCAAUAAAUUUAUCUUUUUAAAACUUUUAAAAUAAAAACAUUAAAAAUUAAAAAGGUAAAAGGAUAUAUAUAUAUAUAUAUAUAUAUAUAUAUAUAUAUAUAUAUAUAUAUAUAUAUAUAUAUAUAUAUAUAUAUAUAUAUAUAUAUAUAUAUAUAUAUAAAAAAAAAGUGAGUGAUAGUCAAUUUUAAAAUUUUUUAAAAAAUGGUGAAUGUAGAAAAUAUAAAAAAUAUAUUACAAAUAGGAGAAAAAUAUAAAUGAAAGGGUAAUAUAAAUUUAAAAUAAAAAAUGAAAAUUAAACUAAAAGAUAAAUACAAAAAAAUAAAAAAUAUUUGGAUGAAAAAUCCCAAAAUUUUUAUCAUUGCUUAUAAUAAGAGCAAAAAGAUUCAAUAUCUUUAAAAAUGAAAAACAAAAAAACAUUAUUGCUUUUUAUUUGACAUAAAAUAGAAAUGUAGAUUGAAAGAAAAAGAAAAAAAAAAAAGUUAGAAAUGAGUAAUACUUAAUAGGGAAUAGAAAAGGGGGAAAAAAAAAUUGAGAUUCACACUCACUUGUGCCUAUGUAAGGGUUAAGGGUAUUUUAGGGAUUAAUGAAAGACAAUAUCCUUCAUCUUAAUUUUCAUACUUUUUUUGGGUCUUAGGCUUAAAUAUGCAUGAUAUAUGGACCAAAUGUUAAUUUUUGGGCCCAACACAAUUCUCCCCAUAUUCAAACACUUGAAGUAAUUUCAUGGGAAGAAAACCAAAUGGAAUGUGUUGUACUGGAAAGGUUGCCUACCUUCUAUUUUGAAUCAUUUGAUCAUCAGCUCUAUUCCUAGAAGAAAUUUUGAAUUAGGGUAAAGAUUUGUUAAAAAAAAAAAAAAAAAAAAAAAGAAGAAGAAAAAACUAUGAUUGGUUCUUCUUCUAUUGCCAAGUUUCAAUAGAAGAAAAUUCCAUCCUAUGGAAUGCUUUUUUUUUGGGCAAUUAAUAAAAAAUAUUUUUGUUUAUUUACCACUCUCCUUGACACUUGUCUUAACUAAUAAUAUGCAUGCAACAAGAGUUACCUCUAGAAAAUAUAUGUCAUAUUGAUGAAAAUGAUGUAAAAUUAAGAAUAUUAGUUCAUUACUUUUUGACAAAAUUGAAAUCCAGCUUGUACAAGGUCUAGAAAGUUGAAAGUGGCAAGUUGAUUACACUAUGUCUGUGCUUCCAAUAUUACCAUUAUCAUUGCCUUUGCUAUUUGUAUCCCUGUAUUGAAAUGUCAUUCAUGAUAAAUUGUACCUAGAUUUAAAAGCUAUAACUUCAUAGAUGUAAAAAAAAAAAUCUCAUUUUAUCACCCUACCUAUUAAAGGACUUUGAGGGGGGCAUGUGAAUGAGAACCGAUUGAAAACCCGUACCACUUGACUAACUGACCCAUUCAUACUCGAUUCAUUAGGGUUGGGGAUGGAUGGAACUAAUCAGAAGUGCAAAUCACACAAGAGAAUCUGAGAAACGGACCGCAACGCAACGACUAGAACUCGUGUCAGAAGAGUUUUGAGCAUGAGCUACCACUCAUGCAACAACAAUGACCCACAACUCUUGAAGGGGCCACCAAUCGCCUGUGAUUUGAUCUUUUUCCCAUUUGUUGAGUCAGGCUAUCACCCCGAUUGAAAUAGAUAUACAUAGCCCCUCUACCUCCUACUCUAGUAGGCUUUUUCUCUCUUUCUCCAACCUUCGAUGAUCCUCCUAUAGGCAAAUCACUGAAGUUGAUUUAUUUAUUUAUUAUUAUUAUUAUUUUUGGCUUUUGGAGAGGGAGGAGAGCUUUCUAAGAAAGGCUUGGGACCUAUGAACAACAAUAAACAUGAUGAAAUGAAGAAGAAUGAACGAGAGGUGUUGGAAAAUGAUGAACUACUUACUUUUGUUUGGUUAACUACUUUAUUGACUUGGGGUUCUUUCUCAUGUUAAAUGAUUGUUAUUAAAUUCACUAAAUAUGAAAGAAGUUGUCAUAGUUUUUAUGUGAUUCAGAUGCAUAUACUCUUAUGGAUCUAAUAUCUCUCAGCAUCGACCAUACAACCUUUUACAUCUAUGACACAACACUUUGAACUCUUUAACAGAUACCUCAAUCCUAUGUGCUAAGGCUAGCGGAUUGUCAUACCCUUCUUCUUGUGUGAAUUUUUUUUCAAGAUUAAACUUUGAAAGUUCUAAGAAUGAAGAUCUAAGGCAGAGAGAUGAGUGUUUUCUUUCUUUAUUUUUCAACUUUAGAAAACCCCAUUUUUUAUACCAAAAUUUUAAGGAAGCAUUUUGAAGAUAUUUUUGGAAACUAAAAUUUAAAAAAAAAAAAAACCACUUAAAAUAUGAAAAUAAAUUGAAAAUAUACAAUUGGAGGCAUCAAUAUUCAAAUGCCUUGCAAAGGAUGUUUGAUGGUCUAUGGAAGUUUGAACAUCUCAUAAGUGAUGUUUGAACAUCUUAGCUCCAAUUUACUUGUUUGACUUGUUUUUUGAUAUGCCCUCCAAAAUUUCACCUAGUAGAUAUUGAUUAACUAUUUCUCAUGCUUUAAUACAUCCAAUGUAUAUGCUUUUCUUAUAUGAAUAGACUUUGAAGUAGUUUAAACUUGAUUCUAACCCAUAAAACCCUUGGAAGUAUGAUAUAUUGGACUCAAUGUUAUAAUGAAACAGAAUUGCUAAUCUAAUCUAAUAUAUCAACAAUCUCCCCCUUUGACAAUUUUGUGACAAAAAAUAGGUUGUAAUGAGACCCCCCUUACUCUUAAGAUCAACCUCAUUAAAUCUUAAGUUAAAACCAUCUUAACCUUCAUGCACUUGAUUGUAAUACUCUUACAAAAAUCCUGUUAUAUGCACAUGCUCAACUAACAAUCAUGUGAAAAACAAUAUGUGGGAAGAAAAUGUAUAAACUGGAGAAAUAUCACAGAAGUAAUAGACUUGAAAAGAACUUGCAUAUUGCACCCAAAUGUGCUUAGAAGCUAAGCCGACUUGACCUAUAAAAUAGUUGGGUUCAAGUCUCCCCAAAAGAAGACAAGCUAUUACCUUGCACUUCGAUGGUGAGAGAGUCAGGACAUCAGGUACCAUGGGUAGAGUGAAGCCUUGCUAUGGUCUCAUACUUGUGACCUAAUAGAUAAGUCUUGGGAUGAGAUUGAAAGUAUACCUUUACAUAAAGAGGCUAAAAUGUAUCCUUAGAGUGUAGUCAAAGAUGUUUGAACAUCAAACUAUAAUGAAAAUAACAACCCCUCGAUCGAAUGAAAGUCAAAGGCUUCCAAUCCAUGAUCAUAAAAAAUAUAGGGGAUCAAAAUAUCCCUAAUAGUGGAAAUUAAAGGUCUAGUUGGUGCUUCAACCCAACACACAUCUCAAAGAAUCUUUAAUAGGAAGUCUCCUAAUUGGUACAACCUACUCAAGUGAUCCUUCCUUAAGCUUAUAUAGGUGAGCAAGAAGUUUUUGGAAACUCUUAGAGUCUUUUACACUAGUGGAAGGUUCUAGAAAGCCUAGAUAUGUCCACACAUCUCUACACUACGAUAAAAGACAAGGGAAGAGUGUGGAGCUAUCUAGAGAGUUCCAGACAAGUAUUGUAAAUACUUGUACAUAACUUUUGUCUAGGAGUUUCUAUAGAAUUUCGGAGAUGUAAGGAACGUUUGUGGAUUCUAGAGAGUUCCUUGAUUGCAUAUAAAUAGGAGGAAACCUCAUUUAGCCAAGGCAACAAGCAAGUUAAGAGUUUCUAGCCUUGUAAAGCAUCUUUGGUGCAAUACAAAACUUCAUUUCCUAAGUGUUGCCUUUGUUAUGCAUUUUGAGCUUCCAAGUCAUAUACCUAACUUAGCCUACCUAGCUAAGUACAAUGGGAAGGUUGACUUAACAACUUCAAGUAUCUUGGGUUGUCUAAGUGAUGCAUAUGAACUUAGGAAAAGUCUAAGUUUGUGAUGUUUUGCUUUGGAUACCAAAAACAAUGGAGAGAGAGAUUAUCUAUGGUAUAAAAUGAUGGAUUGGAGUCUUAAGGUUUAAGGACCUAGACAAAGAUGUGAGUGUUCACUUAGUGCCUCUACAACGUGCCAUGAAAGAAAAACAAGAAAUACUAGAAAAUUAAUAAUUAACUUGAGAAACUAUGCAAUUAAAAGAAUCCUAGAAUUUGAGUUGAAAUGCCUUACAAAGAUGAAUCUAAAGUGAAAUAGUGCAAAAACUUGAAAGAAUGUCAAUUGAAAAUGCGAGGAUAGAAUUUAUAAAGGAAAAAAUGAAUGAGAAAUAGGGUAUUGAAAGGUCGUUGAUGUGCCUUUUUAUAGAGGAGCAUUUGAACAUCUCAUUAGAAAUGUUUGAACAUUUCUCACAAAUUAAGACCUUUGGAACACCCAAUGUCCAAUGUUCAAACGUCCUAUGCAAUUUUUGGUGUUGCGCAUAACUCCCAAUUCAUUAUUUCAAAUAUUCAACAUACCUAUUCUAUGACCAAAACAUAUAAUUUGACAUAAAUUAUGUUCCUUCUUGCAAGAUUAUUGACAAAUACACAAAGGCCAGUUUUCCUUGUCCUAUCUUACCGGUCGUCUUUCCAUUCUUAUCCACAAAAACCAAGGUUAACCACUCAUGUUCCACUAUAUUCUUGACUCAUUCACCUUACAUUUUUUUGAAAAAAAAUGUCUUCUAAACUUUCCAAUCUGGGUAUUAUUUCCAUGAAAGAAAGUUUGGGUAUUAUUCCCAUGAAAGAAUGAAAGACGGUUGAUGGAAGAUUCUACUCUCUAUGGUUCUAUAACUCAAGAAACAUUCAACAAAAAUAAAAUAAAAUAAUUUUUAAAAUUUUAACUUUCUUUAAUUCCACUUGUAAGUUCAUUUUUGAUUUACAAAACUAACUAGAGAUGGAGGGGGGUUGGGGAGAGUGAAUAGGUAGUCCAAACAAUUUAUUUCAAUUUUUAAUAUUUGAAAAAUUUUACCAAUGAAAAGAAAAUCAUUCACCUAUAAAGUUUCCUAAAAUCUUUAUAGAUGUAAAAAGUGUGGGUUGAACAAUUGUAAUUGAAUUCAUUAAAUAAGAAGUCGUAUACAAUUUUCCCUGAUUUGGAUGCACAAACUUCCAAUGGUCUAAUACGACUCAAUACCUAUCAAACCCUUUAAGUCCUUGAUGUAAUACUCCAUGCUCCUUAGCGCUUCAACCUUGUGUUGAGGCUAAUGGAUUGUCACAUCCUUUUUCCUUUUUAAAAUUUCUUUCAAGAUUGCACCAAUUUUUUUUUUAAGAGAUAGAGAUUUAGGACAAGGAGAUGAUUUUUCUCCAUGAGCAUAUUUUUCGACUUUAAAAAAAAUCUAUUUAUAGAAAAACCAUAGGAGAGAAUUUUGGAGGGAUUUUUUGAAAUUAAAAUUACCCAAAAAAAAAAAAAACAAUUUAAAAUAUGAAAAUAAGUAAAAAAAAAUUUAUAUAAAUGGAGGCACCAACAUUCGAACGCCUCACAAGGGAUGUUUGAACAACUUGUGGAUGUUUGAACAACUUGUGGAUGUUUGAACACUCAUUAAUAGGAGUUUGAUCGUCCAUGGACAUUCAAAUGCCCCAUAUCUGAGCUUUGGAUGUCUUAUUCAUGAGGUUUGAAUGACCUAUGUGUGGUGUACGAACGUCCAAUGUACACCGUUCAAACAUCCCAUGCAUGAUGUUCAAAUGUUCUAUGUGCAACAUUCAAACAUCCCAUGCAUGACAUUCAAAUGUCCUUGCUCCAAUUCAGUUGUUUGGUGACAUCUAUUUCUCUAAUUAUAAUAUAUUUCAAGUGUAUACACUUUAUAUAUAAAUUAAUUGUGAAGUAAUUUGAACUCAAUUCUACCUUGUAAGACCCUUGAAAGUAUGAUAUAUUAGAAUAAGUAUAUAAUUGAACAAAAUUAUCAACCAAAGUUAGUAAGUCAACAAUUAAUUUUAGGUACUGUUAUAAGUCCUUUUCAAAUUGAUGUUUUUUUUCUUUAUUAAUAAUUUAUGAUAGUGUGGGACACCACUUGUUAUAUCCAAAAGGAGAGUCUGAGUCUGACUGUCAUACCCCAAAGCUUACUCAAAGGGUAUGACGAUCAUUUCACACCUCAAACCCGGAGGUUCAAAGUGGAAACGACACAAACAUUCAUAUUGUAACUGAAAAUUACCUAUUACCAAAUUCCUAUUUAGAGUAGUAAAAUAAAUAAAUUCUAAAAUUUCUAAAUAUCAACUUUAAAAACUAACACAUUAAUCAAAGUGUUAUUGUCUAAAUAACUCCAAACUCAAAUAAUUUAAAUAAGAAUUAAAAUUUAACAUCUAAACAAUGUCCAAAAUAAAGUUUGAACCAAAAUCCUAACAAAGAAAAAUUUCCUAGCCUAGCUAUUACUCUUCGCUCGAACUAAGAGUACUUGAAAAAUUAUUAACAAAUAGGCAUGAAUUUUAAGCUCAAUAAGGAACAUCAAUACAGUUUCAUGGUUCAAACAUUUUUCAAUUAUAAUUAUAAAUCGAAGAUAUAACAUACAAUUAUUUUCAUAAAAACUUUUGAGUUAAAUAUGCAAAUACAUUCAAAACUUUUCAACAAAACUUUCUCAUAUUCAUUUCAAAACAAUUUCACAUCAAAACCAAAUCUAAUACAUUCAAAAUAUCUUUAUUUUGAUUAUCAAAUAACAAAUGAUGCUCAAUUAAAGGGACUUCACAAAUGAGUAGUUAGUUUCAAAUUUAUUCCAUUUAAGGUGAACAAAACCAAAAAUCAACAAUUAUAACUAGUUGACUAGGGUCAUAAGGUCAACUAUUGAAACCCGUUGACUAGGACCAUAUAAUAUCAAUUAUUAUAACCCGUUGACUAGGGUUAUAGAAAUGUCAACAUUUGUAAUCCAUUGACUAGGGUCAUAGAAACUAGAUUCAAACACUUUAUUUCAUUAAUUCAAAUUUAUAAAACAAAAUAUCAUAUCUCCACAAUUUUCAUUUUUCAUAAACAAAUAAAAUGUUCAAACAUAUUUUCCAUGCAAAACAUAUAUUUGAUCCAUGCAUAGAAAUAAAAAUAUUAUUUUUAUACAUUUCAAAAUACAAUAUAAAAAGAAACUAUUGCCUUUUACAAAACCUGCAUUUAUUUCCCUUAUUUCAAAGAAGUACUGAAAAACAUUGAGUAUUUAAUCUCAAAUAAUUUCGCCUCAAAGAACCUAUUUCAAACCUAACAAAAAAGAAAAAAAAAAGCACAACUAUUAUUAUUAACUAUUUAUCUAAAUUUAUAGGUUUGAGAACCCUAAUAAUUUUCUAUAUUAUGUCACCUAUUAUUUUUAACUUCUUAAUCAAUAAUAAUUUAACAUGUGAGUUUUUAAAUUCUUCUAAAAAUUUGGGUUCUUCCCAAAAUUUAUUCCCUAAAUUCCAUUAAUUUAUUGUUAUUAUUUUUAAAUUAAUUUUAUAAAAAAAUAUAUUGUUUUUCUAUUUAUUGCAUUAAACUAUUAUUAUUACUAAUAUUUCCUUUGUUAGCUCAAAACUAAAUAUUAUUAUUUUUUAUUAAUUUUCAAAUUCAGUACGUAACCAUCCCAUUACCCUCCAAUCUUCAUUGCACGUACAAAGUCCUAAGAAUAAAAUAAUAAGCCUCAUGUUUCUUCUCAUUAUUUAUUAUUAUAAUAAUAUAUUUACAUAUACAAUUUUUUUUAAUGCCUAAGUUAAUACCUUGGCAACACUCGCAUCCUCCAAUUAUUAUUUUUUUUCUUUUUAAUCCCACAACAUUGUAUAUUUACAUAGAAAUUUACUUUUUAAUUUAUUUACACAUACACGCCUCUCAUUAUAUUUAUUUAUAUAUCUUUAUUUUUAUUUUUCACACAAUACAUAUAUCUACACUUUUUUUUUUCCAAUUUAAAGUCUCUACAAAUGAUUUAUUUAUUUAUUUUCUAAAUCUAAAAUUUCUUUUCUUCCAUUGAUCUUUCAUUUAUUUUUUUUUCUAUUCAAUUGAAAUUUUCUAAAUUUUCUAAUUUUCAUCAUAAAUUAAUACACAUUCAUAAAUUUCCAAUCUUUUGAUCUAAAAAUUAAUUUAACAAACCCUAAUAUAAAUUGAGAUAUUCCAAAGAAUAUCUAAAGUGUUUAAAACUAAUUAUCGAAUAUAAAUAUUAAUUUAAAAAUUAAAAUCUUACCUGAAAAAUUGAUCUUUAACCUUAAAUCUCCAAUUCUUCAAUCCUACGCUUUAUAAUAUUUCUGAUCUUCAUGUUAAAAGGUUUUUAAAUAGAGAAGAUAAAUAUUUAAUUUAUACUUAGGAAUUUUAAAUAUGAAAAUACAUUUUUACCCUUAUUAUUUAAUUGUAUAAAUUACAAUUUUACCCCUAAAUUGGUUUGGCCCAUUAUGUUGAUCGUGAUCUCCGGAUCCCACUUGCUUUAUCCAGAAAGACGAUCAUGAUCUGGCCAGUCCAAAAAUAUCUUAAGCAGCUUAUAUAUAAUACACUGAUAUAUGACAUUAGAGCACACAAAACAAUCAAUUGUUCAACCUCUUCUCCCAUAGGCUUUUAGCUUAGACAGGGUUCCAAACCCAAGGAGCGGAUGAAAAUGCUUUCUUCUUCUCCUUCUUCUUCCACUAUUCCACUCUUUGUUUCCGUUUUUAUUAUUUUAUGCAGCACAGAAGCCCUGGUAAAGCUACCAGAUAAUGAAACAGUUCCAGCUCUGAUAGUUUUCGGAGAUUCGAUAGUGGACCCUGGCAAUAACAACGAUCUUGUUAGCGUGGCUAAGUGCAAUUUUCCACCCUAUGGGAGGGACUUCAUUGGGGGAAUUCCGACCGGAAGAUUUAGCAAUGGCAAAAUUCCUUCCGACUUCAUUGGUCCGUCCUAUUCUCCUAGUACUCUGUCCUGCAUGCAAUCAUAUCUCCUUCUACAGAUGAAAUACCUCUUUCCUUGUUUUUUUUUUUUUCCUUAAAUUAGAAAUAUUUAUAUUUUGAAGGAGUAGAUAGUAAAUACACAAAGCUAGUCCCAUUAUACAAUUUUUCUUUGACUUUAAGCAGUGUUGUCUGAAGCCAACUUACAAUUAUGUCGCAUUUAUUCAUUUUUCACAGAAUAAUUCUCCAAUGAUAACAUGUUCCUUUUCCUUUGGAUAUUGUUUGGAUUAUUUAUUAUUAGAGAAAUUUACAAGUCAUUUCUCUCAAUUUGAGCCACAGCCGAAGAAUUGGGAAUCAAAAAGCUAUUGCCGGCAUAUUUAGACCCAGCUCUUCAGCCUAGCGAUCUCCUCACUGGAGUAAGCUUCGCUUCAGGUGCUUCAGGAUAUGACCCUCUAACACCUAAGAUUUCGGUACAUAAAAUUUCCUUCAAAGAGGAUAUUAAUUAACCAUUUCUUUAACUUUAUAUUUAUAUUCAAUUUUGUUUUCAUUUUUUGGGUGAACAAAAUCAGUCGGUUUUUUCACUGUCGGAUCAAUUAGAACAGUUCAAAGAGUAUAUAGGAAAGUUGACAGCCAUGGUUGGAGAACAAAGAACAAACACCAUUUUAAGCAAAAGCCUAUUUUUAGUGGUACAAAGCAGUAACGACAUUGCCACUACAUAUUUCGACAUACGGAAAGUGCAGUAUGAUUUUGCUUCUUAUGCAGAUCUUCUGGUAACCUGGGCUUCUUCUUUCUUUAAGGUAAUUUCAAUUGCCAUGCUCUUCCAUUUCCAAUUCCUAACAUACAAUUCUUCAAUAAUUAUCUUAAAUAAAACAAAUUUUAAAGGAAUUGUAUGGAUUGGGGGCACGAAGAAUAGCUGUUUUCAGUGCACCUCCGUUAGGAUGCCUGCCAUCACAGAGAAGCUUAGCAGCAGGGAUAGAAAGAGAGUGUGUAGAGAAGUACAACGAAGCAUCCAAGUUAUUCAACACUAAGCUCUCAUCUGGAUUGGAUUCUCUCAACACCAACUUUCCCCUUGCAAAGUUUGUGUAUGUUGAUAUUUAUAACCCCUUGCUUGAUAUCAUCCAAAACCCUCAAAAAUCAGGUAAUACUUCUUGUUUUGUUCUGUUUGAUUUUUGGUUUUCUUUCAUGGGUGUGGGAAAAGCUUUCUUCCUCUUAAUUGUUUCAGGAUUUGAAGUAGUGAAUAAAGGAUGCUGUGGCACGGGGCUAAUAGAGGUAGCAGUGCUAUGUAACCAAUUUAAUCCGUUUACUUGUAAUGAUGUUACCAAGUAUGUAUUUUGGGACAGUUAUCAUCCAACUGAACGAUUGUACAAGAUUCUAAUUGGUGAGAUCAUCCAGGAAUACGUGGAUAGCUUCUUCUGAUCAGACUCAUUUCUCUUUCAUCAACAACCCACAUGCCAACCUCAUCCACUGCCUUAAUUAUUUGUAGUGGUGAAAUUGAAUACUAUCCUCCUGUCUUUGUGAUAAUCUUGUGUAUCAAUCCCAGUACAACAUAUUCAAACACCCAAAGUAAUUUCAUGGGAAGAAAACCAAAUGGAAUGUGUUGUAAUGGAAAGGUUGCCUACUUUCUAUUUUGAAUCACCUGAUCAUCAGCUCUAUGCCCAGAAGAAAUUUUGAACCAGGGUACAUAUUUGGUAAACUUGUCAAACUUGCAAGUUUGAGAUCUUAGCUUUGUAAAAUAUUUUUAUGCAGAACCAAUUAAUGUUUUACAUGUGGGGGUUGUAUUGCUGAUAUUAAAUUAUCAUAAUAUCUUAGUCUCCAUCAUUCGUCUUUAUCUUCCUGCUUUCCACCCAGAUUGAUACUUGUUGAAAUGGAAAUAAUUAAUAAUAUAUGCAUGCAACAAGGGCUACCUCUAGAAAAUAUCUGUCAUAUUGAUGAAAAUUAUGUAAAAGCUAUAACUUCAUAAAUGUUAAAAAGUCUCAUGUCCAAUGAUUGUUAUUAGUUGUCACAGUUUUAUGUGAUCUGGAUAUAUACACAUGCUCUUAAGGAUUUAAUAUUGUCAUUAGUACCUAUAUUCACAUCUACGACACAACACCCUGUAUUCCUCAAUGGAUACCUUAGCCCUGUACGAAGGCUAGCGCACUGUCACAUCCUUCUUUUUCAUUGAAAGUUCUAAGAAUGAAGAUCUAAGGUAGAGAGAUGAGUGUUUUCUUUCUUUAUUUUUCUACUUUAGAAAACCUCUUUUUUAUAUCAAAAUUCUAAGGAAGCAUGUUGGAGAGAUUUUUUAAAAUUAAAAUUAUCAAAAAACCACUUAUAAUAUGAAAAUAGAUUGAAAAUAUACAAGUGGAGGCAUCAACGUUCAAAUGCCUUGCAAAUGAUGUUUGAUGGUCUAUGGAAGUUUGAACGGCCCAUGUGUGAUAUUUGAACAUCUUAGCUCCAAUUUACUUGUUUGACUUGUUUUUCAAUAUACCCUCCAAAAUUUCACCUAAUAUAUAUUGAAUAGUUAUUUCUGAUGCUUUAAUACAUCCAAAGUAUAUGCUCUUCUUAUAUGAAUGGACUCUGAAGUAGUUCAAACUUGAUUCUAACCGGUAAAUCUAAUAUAUCAACAAUCUCUCCCUUUAACAAUUUGUGAUAAAACUUAUAGUGAGACUCCCCUAACUCUUAAGAACAACCUCAUUAAAGCUUAAGUUAAACCAUCUUAACCUUUAUGCACUUGAUUGUAAUAUUUUACCUAUCCUUUUUGAGUGCAAGUACACCAAAACUACAAAAAUUUUAUCCAACUAUUUUCUCCUUAUUUUUUUCAUAAAGAAUUUUUUUUAUUUAUAUAAAACUAUAGAUAAAGAUAGAUUGAUUUCAAAAUUCAAAUAAUGAUUUUUAUUAUUUCUUGAAAUUUUAGGAAAAAAUCUUGUCAAACAGUAUGUUUGUUUAUUAAAUAAUAAUAAAUAAAUUAAUUAAUUAAUUUUAAUUUAAUAUGUAGAUUUUUUAUUAUAGAAUAAAUAUAUACAUCGAAUUGUCAUAAGGCUACAAUACUUUUUAAAAUAUAAAUACUUAAAAUUUUAAAAAUUUUGUAUCACUUUUUACCAAUGUUUUAAAAAUCGGACCGGUCAUUGAACCGGAAAAGUUAUCGGUUCACGGUUCACUGGUCGGACUGCCGGUUGAACCGCUAUCGAACCGCUAUCAAACCGGUGACGUCAUAAAUAUAUAUUUUAUUAUUUUAUAUAAUAUAAAAAUUACAAAAUUAAUAAAUUCUAUGUAAAUUUUGAUAGCAUCUACUUUGUUUAUUGAGUAACUUGAGUUUUGUCACAAAAUUUUUUACCUGUAGAAGUCAUCAAUUAUCAUAUAUGAUAUUUAUAACACAAUAUAAGAUGUUAUACAUUCAUAAUGUCAAUAAUAAACUCAAUAUUUAUCAAAUAAUCAAACCAUUACUAUCCUAUAAUAACCAAAUUAUCAAAGAGUUGUUAACUUAACACAUUGUCCAUAACAAAUAAUAUAAAUGUCAACCAUAGGUCCACAACACUUAAAUAAUUACUCAAAAUAAAAACAUAACAUGUCAAUGUUUGAAUAUUCAUGAAGAUUUUUGCAUACUAAUAAAUAUAAAAUUCAUGUCUUCAUUUAUUUUGGAAAUUGGAAUAUGGAGAUUGAAAAUGAGCAUUUGGAAAACCAAAAAAAAAAUUAAAAUAAUUUGAACCGGUUUUUUCCCUCAGAACCGACCGGUUUGUCUGGUUCACCGGUUGGACCGCCGGUUCAAGCGGUCCAAUCCCGGUUCGAUCUUCAUCCGGUCUAAUGACCGGACCGAACCGGAACGAUGAUCGGUUGGCGGUCCAACUGGUCGAACCGGCCGGUUCGGUCCGGUUUUUAAAACCAUGCUUUUUACUAAAUUAUUAUUAUUAUUUUUAUAAUUUUUAUUAAAUAAUUAAAAUUUUAUAAUAUUAACUUUAUUACUUAAAUGUCCAUGUGCAAAACACAUGGAAAUAGUUACAAAUAGAAAAGUGAUCGGAACUAAAAGGAAAAAGGAAUUGAUUGAGUUAUAAUUAUAAUAAUUAAAAAUUUAUGAUAAUGUGGGACCCCACUUGUUAUGUUCAAAAGAAAAGUCUGAUCAUGAUCUGGCCAGUCCAAAAUUAUCUUAAGCAGCUUAUAUAUAUAUGACACUGAUAUGAGACAUUAGAACACACAAAACAAUCAAUUGUUCAACCUCUUCUCCCAUAGGCAUUUAGCUUAGACAGGUUCCAAACCCAAGGAGAGGAUGAAAAUGCUUUCUUCUUCCUCUUCCACUAUUCCACUAUUUGUUUCCGUUUUUAUUAUUUUAUGCAGCACAGAAGCCCUGAUAAAGCUACCAGAUAAUGAAACAGUUCCAGCUUUGCUUGUUUUCGGAGAUUCGAUAGUGGACCCUGGCAAUAACAACGAUCUUGUUACCUUUGCUAAGGGCAAUUUUCCGCCCUAUGGGAGGGACUUCAUUGGCGGAAUUCCAACGGGAAGAUUUAGCAAUGGCAAAAUUCCUGCCGACUUCAUUGGUCGGUUCCCAUUCUCCUAUUACUCUUUCCUCCUGCAUGCCCUCACAUCUCCUACACAUCCAUGAAACACCCCUUUUUUUCGAAUUAUUCAUAUUUUGAAGGAGUAAAUAGUAAAUACACAAAACUCCUACAUUAUACAAUUUUUCUUUACUUUAAACUCCAUUGUUUUUAGCUUUUUAUGAAGUCUUCCACUGCACCCGACUUGCUGGGCCCCCUAAGACAACUGAAACCAAACUACACUUCUGUCCCAUUUGUUGAAUUUUCACAGAAUAAUUCUCGAAUGAUAACACGUUCCUUUUCUUUUGGGUACUACUGUUUGGAUUAUUGAAUGCUAGAGAUAUUAAACUAAUCUUUUCUCUCAAUUUGAGCCACAGCCGAAGAAUUGGGAAUCAAAGAGAUAGUGCCGGCAUACUUAGACCCAACUCUUCAACCUAGUGAUAUCCUCACUGGAGUAAGCUUCGCUUCCGGCGCUUCAGGAUAUGACCCUCUAACAUCUAAGAUUCCGGUACAUAAAUUCUCCUUCAAAGAAGAUAUUGACCAUUUCUUUAACCUUAUAUUUCUAUUCAAUUUUGUUUUCAUUUUUGUGUGAAAAAAAUCAGGCAGUUUAUUCACUGUCGGAUCAAUUAGAAAUGUUCAAGGAGUACACAGGAAAGCUGAAAGCCAUGGUUGGAGAAGAGAGAACAAACACCAUUCUAAGCAAAAGCUUGUUUUUAGUGGUACAAAGCAGUAAUGACAUUGCCUCUACAUAUUUCACCGUUCGGAGAGUGCAGUAUGAUUUUUCUUCUUACGCAGAUCUUCUGGUAACCUGGGCUUCUUCUUUCUUUAAGGUAAUUUCAAUUGCCAUUCUCUUCCAUUUCCAAUUCCUAACAUACAAUUCUUCAAUAAUUAUCUUAAAUAAAACAAUUUUUAAAGGAAUUGUAUGGAUUGGGGGCACGAAGAAUAGCUGUUUUCGGUGCACCUCCGUUAGGGUGCCUGCCAUCACAGAAAAGCAUAGCAGGAGGGAUAGAAAGAGAGUGUGUAGAGAAUUACAAUGAAGCAUGCAAGUUAUUCAACACUAAGCUCUCAUCUGGAUUGGAUUCUCUCAACACCAACUUUCCCCUUGCAAAGUUUGUGUAUAUUGAUAUUUAUAACCCCUUGCUUGAUAUCAUCCAAAACCCUCAAAAAUCAGGUAAUACCUCUUGUUUUGUUUUGUUCUGUUUUUGGGUUUUCUUUCAUGGGUAUUCCCCUAAAUUGUUUCAGGAUUUGAAGUAGCGAAUAAAGGAUGCUGUGGCACGGGGUUAAUAGAGGUUGCAUUGCUAUGUAACCGAUUGAAUCCGUUUACUUGUAAUGAUGUGACCAAGUAUGUAUUUUGGGACAGUUAUCAUCCUACAGAACGAGUGUACAAGAUUCUAAUAGGUAGGAUCAUCCAGGAAUACGUGGGCAGCUUCCUCUGAUCAAACUCAGCUCGCUGAUUUAUGUCCUACCCACAGCCCAUAUGGCAUGCUCCAUCCUCUGCCCUGAUUGUUUGUAAUGGUGAAAUUGAAUGUUAUCCUCUUGUUUUUUUUCUUUUUAUUUGGUAAUAACAGUUUGAUAUGAUUUUCAAACUGUAUCAAAUCCCAAUACAGCAUAUUCAAACACCUAAAGCAAUUUCCUUGGAGGAAAACCAAAUGGAAGGUGUUGUAAUGGAAGGGUUCCCUCUGACUGGAUUGCUACCUGUAAUUUCUCACAAGUUGCAUAUUUUCAAAUAAUGAUGCUUCAUAAAUUCAUAAGUCACUAUUACCAAGUAUUUUUUAUCCUACCUGCACUGGAAAUCACAUAAUUUAUGAGAAAAAUGAUUUAAUUUUUGCUAUCCCAAACGGAUCUCUAAUAGACCUAAUAUCUCAAAAUGCCUGUUAGGUUAAAUCAACUGUAUUUGUAAUGUUUCUCCCAUUUGAAGUGGCAACAAAGGAAGCAAAAAUGGUAAUUCCUCAGUUGGGUUUGAUUUGAAUCAGAAACAAAUCAUGGUUAAGCAUAUAUACUCAAAUUUCAUCUUGGAUUGGAAUAAAUUGUUGACAAUUUGAAACUUUUGAUGAAUGGCUCCAAAUUUGAAGCCCUAUGGCAUUGUUGGAAUAAAUUAAUUAGCUCUAUUUUAGAAGAAAUUUUGAAUUAGGGUAAAGAUUUGUGAUAAAAAAAAUUGAGUGGUCCUUCUUAUAUUGUCAAGUUUGAUCAGAGGCAAUUAAAAAAAGAUAGUUAUGUUUAUUUAUCAAGUUCAUCUACAUUUUUUUUGUUGGCACACCGAUAUGUGUAUACUUUCAAGUCUCAUUAUUUAUAUUUUAGUGUCAUAUGAUGUCAUGUAUCCUUAGUUAACGAUUUAAAUCCCAUCAUAUAUAUUCAAUAGUUUGAAUUUCAUCAUAUAUAUUCAAUAGUUUGAAUUUGGGUUUCGAUAAAUACUACUUGAUAGCUUAGCCUUUUGCUUAUUUACCACUUUCCCUUACCCUCAUUUUAAUUUUAUCCCACAAUAAUUGGAAUUAUCAAACAUUAUAAAAUUUUCGAUAAUAAAAUAGUUAAGCAAUGCUUGAUCCCCUUGAAAACAAAUUUUAGGUAAUUAAAAAUGUUUUGCUUGAGUGGAAGGCUUAUUUGCAAUUUUAAUUUUGUAGCAAGAGCUGGUAAAAAAUUUAAUAGGCCACAAGAAGCAAUUUGCAAGUCAUCAUUUAAACCAAAUGAACUAAGGGAAAAUUGUGUUUUCAACUCAUAUAGGCUUGAUAAUUAAGGUAAAGUCCUCCGACCACCCUUAAUUGAUUACAAGGAUAUGAGAUAGUAAUUGACAAAAAUACCCAUUUGACUUAUUUUUGUCUUUAUUCUACCACUCUUCACAUGCUACUAUUCUUUCUUAUUUAAUCAUUUUUAGAUUUUUCAUUAUUUGUUUAAACUAUUUUAUAAAUAAUUGAAAAAUCAACAUUAUUUUUUAUUUUUAAAUUAUAAAUAAAAAAAAUUAUAUUAAUGAUUCAAAGACUAUUUUGGAAAAUACUUUCUAAAAAAAUAUUAAUUUAAAUAAAUAAAAAUUAUUUUUUAGAUUUAUUUUUAUCUUUUACAUUUUAGAAGUAAAUAAUUUAAUGAUUAAAGCACUGUUUAAAAUAAAUAUAUUCACUAUUUUAAUUUUAUACUAAAAAGUAUUUUAAAGUUUUUUUUUACUAUUAUAAAAUAAAAAGUUUAAUUUUUUUUAAUCUUCUUCCUUCUUUAUUUUAAUAACUUUUUAAACAUGACUUUUAGUAAUAAGUUAUAUGAAAUGUUACAAAUUUGUUUACUAAGGAUUUUUUUUAAUAAUUUGAAUUAAUUGAAAAUUUAUUAAAAUAAGAAAAAGAAAAAGAAAGAAAGAGGAUAGAUAAAGAGUUUUUAUUUUAAGUACUCAAUUAAAAUGCUUUCAUAUGACCUAAUUUUAGAAGUGUAUUAUAUCAAUAGAUAGUAGAGAUUGAAUUUUUCUUAUAUAAAAAUGUUGAAAGAUAUAUUUACUUAUUUUAAAUGAAAACAAGUAGUUAAAAAUUAUAUAGAUUAUAUUUGAGUUUGGUUUUAAAAUAUUUUUCUAGUUUUUAUUUUUUAUUUUUUAUUUUUAUUUUUAAAAUAAUUUUUAUUUUCUAUAUUGUCUCUUUUUGAAAAUAUGUUUAAUUUAAAAAUGAAAACAAUUUUUAAAAAUGAAAAUUGAAAACCUUGUUUAGUACUAUUUUUUAUAUGAAAAAAAAAUCAUUUAUUCAUUUAUUGCGUCGUUGUACAAUUGUAUUACACUAAUUGUACAAGGGAAAUGUAGUAAGUGUACAAAGGUGUACAAGGCUAUCCUUUGCGAAAUAUUACAAUCGAUUAUGAGUCAUUAUUUUAUUUUUCUUAUCACUCACGAAUUGUACAUAUAUAUCAUGCAUUUUAUUUAAUUUCCACACGGAAAUUUCAAUACUUUCCUUAAUAAUGAUAUAUGGGGAAAUUUUUUUUGACCUUAAGUCAUCCACCAUCUUCUCAACUAAACCAUUGGAAAUAUGGUUAAAUAUUCUUACGUGGACAUAUAACUUAGAAGAGAUAUAAAAUUUGUGUCAUUGUAUAAGGGUAUUAUACUAACUAUACAAGAAAAAUAUACUAAUUGUACAAAGGUGUACAAGAUUAUCCUUUGUGAAUGAUUUCAAUCAAUUCUAAAUCACUUUUUUAUUUUCCUUGUCACCCAAGGAUUGUACACCUAUAUCAUGCACUUUAUUUAACUCUCAGAUGAAAAUUUCAAUAUUUUCCUCAAUAAUGAUAUUUGGGGAAAAAAAAAUUGACCAUAAGUCAUUCACCAUUUUGUUAACCAAACCAUUGAAAAUAUGAUUAAUACACCUAUAUGGACAUAUAACUUAGGAGAUAUAUGAAAUUUGUGUCAUUGUACAAGGGUAUUACACUAACUGUACAAGGAAAAAUGUGCCAAGUGUACAAGGGUGUACAAAGCUCCUAAUAAGUUUUGUCCGAUUUUUAAACAAUUUGAGUUUGACAUUAAGACGAUUAUUGAUAGUUUUUUUUUUUUUUUUUUACCAAACUAUGUCAUUAAGACAUUCCCUACAAAAAUUAACACAAAGGAAAUAAAAUUAAAAUCAAUCAUAUUUGAAUUGUUCAUUAUAAGUAAACUAAAUGAAAUAUAUAUUUUUACUAUUUUGCAUUUAUAAACAUAAUUUCAUUGUUAUCAAUAGAGAUUAAAAAAAUCAUAUUUAAAUGGAAUUAAAAAUAAACAAAAAUUAUUUUUAUAUCAUUUUUAUUUUUUAAAAUCAUUAAUUUAAAUUAUGAAAUUAGUUUUAAAAUUUAAAAUAUUUGUUGUAAUUAUAAUUUUGAAGAUUUCAUGAUUUUUAUCUUAUUACUUUGAAAAAAUUGCUUUAAUAAGAAAAUAUUUAUUUUAAUGGUUUUAAAUAUUUAAAUCUUUAUUAAAAAAUAUUUAGGAAUAGUGUGGAAACAAUUAGAUAAUUUUGGAAUGGAGAAAUUUUGAAUAUUUUGAAGACUUUAAUUUGGCCAAUUACCCUAUAUAUAUAUUGUGAGUGUUUACAUUAUUUUUGAAAUAAUAUGAGAAAUAAUAAAUACCAUAUGUCUAAUUUGCAAGUUAGAAAAAAAAAUUAAUAAUAUUUUAUGAGGUAUUUAAAAAGUAUUUAUUAUAUGUUCUAUAAAUUUGAAAAAAAAAUAAUAUUUGAUGAUAUAUAAUUUACAAGUUAAAACAAACAAAUAAUACUAAUAUUUUAUGAGGUGUUUAAAAAUUAUUUAAUAUAUAUGAGAAAUAAUAAAAGUUUGAAAUAAAGAAUAAUAUUUAUUAUAUAUUAUGUAAGUUGAAAAAAAGAAUAAUAUUUGAUGAGGUAUAUAAAAGUUAUUCAUUUCAAAAAUGCAUUUGGCAAUAAUAAUUUUUAACAAUAUUUUAUAUUCAAUUUGAUGAAAAAUGAUUCAACUUGGUUCCACUAUUAAAUAGGUGAGAGAAGGGUAAAAAAGUCAAAGAGAUAAUGAGAAAAGUGAGGUGAUUGAUUAGUUUUUUAUAUUUAAUAAUCAAAGGUAUUUUAGAGAUUUUUUAAAAAAAUAAUAUCCUUCCACUCAAUUUCCACUCUUUCGUUAGCUUUUGGGAUUAAUUACGAGUGAGUACCUUACCUCAAUUACCCAACCUAACUUAGUUGAAACCAUAAUUCUCCCACUGUACAAGGAAAAAUGUGCCAAGUGUACAAGGGUGUACAAAACUCCUAAUAAGUUUUGUCCGAUUUUUAAACAAUUUGAGUUUGACAUUAAGACGAUUAUUGAUAGUUUUUUUUUUUUUUUUUUACCAAAUUAUGUCAUUAAGACAUUCCCUACAAAAAUUAACACAAAGGAAAUAAAAUUAAAAUCAAUCAUAUUUGAAUUGUUCAUUAUAAGUAAACUAAAUGAAAUAUGUAUUUUUACUAUUUUGCAUUUAUAAACAUAAUUUCAUUGUUAUCAAUAGAGAUUAAAAAAAUCAUAUUUAAAUGGAAUUAAAAAUAAACAAAAAUUAUUUUUAUAUCAUUUUUAUUUUUUAAAAUCAUUAAUUUAAAUUAUGAAAUUAGUUUUAAAAUUUAAAAUAUUUGUUGUAAUUAUAAUUUUGAAGAUUUCAUGAUUUUUAUCUUAUUACUUUGAAAAAAUUGCUUUAAUAAGAAAAUAUUUAUUUUAAUGGUUUUAAAUAUUUAAAUCUUUAUUAAAAAAUAUUUAGGAAUAGUGUGGAAACAAUUAGAUAAUUUUGGAAUGGAGAAAUUUUGAAUAUUUUGAAGACUUUAAUUUGGCCAAUUACCCUAUAUAUAUAUUGUGAGUGUUUACAUUAUUUUUGAAAUAAUAUGAGAAAUAAUAAAUACCAUAUGUCUAAUUUGCAAGUUAGAAAAAAAAAUUAAUAAUAUUUUAUGAGGUAUUUAUAAAGUAUUUAUUAUAUGUUCUAUAAAUUUGAAAAAAAAAUAAUAUUUGAUGAUAUAUAAUUUACAAGUUAAAACAAACAAAUAAUACUAAUAUUUUAUGAGGUGUUUAAAAAUUAUUUAAUAUAUAUGAGAAAUAAUAAAAGUUUGAAAUAAAGAAUAAUAUUUAUUAUAUAUUAUGUAAGUUGAAAAAAAGAAUAAUAUUUGAUGAGGUAUAUAAAAGUUAUUUAUUUUAAAAAUGCAUUUGGCAAUAAUAAUUUUUAACCAUAUUUCAUAUUCAAUUUGAUGAAAAAUGAUUCAACUUGGUUCCACUAUUAAAUAGAUGAGAGAAGGGUAAAAGAGUAAAAAAGAGAAUGAAAAAAGUGAGGUAAUUGGUUAGUUUUUUAUCUUUAAUAAUUAAGGGCAUUUUAGGAAUUUUUUUAAAGAUAAUAUUCUUCUCUCAAUUUCUACUUUUUCAUUAGCUUUUGGGUUUAAAUACGAGUGAUAAAGAGGACCAUUACCCAACCUAACUUGGUUGAAAGCAUAAUUCUCCCAUGAACCAAACCCAUUACGUCUUACAACACCUCAUAGCUGCAGGGGUGCAGGGCUCUUAAAUUUUGCUGUCCGUUCCGUACAAUUGGUUCAUUGCGGUUCACUUGGCUUGAAGUGUUUGACCAAUUUGAUGUUUAUCAAAGAUUCAGAGUUUCAGCCCCCCUCUUCUGUUCAGUUGAGUACUGAAAUGACUAUUCCACCAACUCGAUGUGUUUUUUUUUUUUUUUUUUUAGAACAGCGUGUGAAGCUUUAAGCAACCUGUCUGUCUGGCGGUAGGAAAUAAAACUUAAUUUAGGUGGCUUGAUUAAAUCAUGGUGGAUUUUGAGAGAGAUCAUACAUGUGGAGACUGGGGUGGUCACCGGACUGAAGAGCCCUGAUCGCUGCAGCUCACUGACAAGAAUUAAAGAUCGGUAGUCACCUUACAACAAGAGUCCCCCAUGUCACAUGAAUUGUCACACCUGCCCUAUAUAUGUAUAUAAAUAUAUGGCUUAGACAGGCUUCCGAACAGAGGGUUGAAAAUGCUUUCAUAUUCUUCUUCCGUCAUUCCAUUCUUUGUUUCCGUUUUUAUCAGUUUAUGCAGCACAGGAGCCCUGGUAAAGCUACCGGAGAAUGGAACAAUUCCGGCUGUGAUAGUUUUCGGGGAUUCGAUCGUGGACGCAGGCAAUAACAACAAUCUUGUUACUGUGGCUAAGUCCAAUUAUCCACCCUAUGGGAGGGACUUCAGUGGAGGAAUACCAACUGGAAGAUUUAGCAAUGGCAAAAUUCCCUCCGACAUCAUUGGUUGUAACUCCCAUUCUUCUACUCUUUCCAGCAUUAUGCAUGCCCUCUUUUCUUUUCCUAUAGCUCAAAUACCUCUUUACUUUAUACCAUGUUGUCUUCGUAGGGUCUUCCAACGCACCCGAUGGACCUACUGGGUCCCCAAAGACAACGGAAACCUAGUUUACACUUCUAUCCCAUUUAUUCUAUAUUGAAAAAAAACAAAGUUCCCAAAUGUUGUAAAAAAAAAAAAAAACUCAAUUUUCACAGAUAAUUCUUGAAUGAUAAUACGUUCCUUUCCUUCUGGAUUAUUUAUUGUUGGAGAAAUUAACUAGUGUUUUCUCUCAAAUUGAGCUUCAGCUGAACUAUUGGGAAUCAAAAAGCUGUUGCCGGCAUAUUUAGACCCAACUCUUCAACCUAGUGAUCUCCUCACUGGAGUAAGCUUCGCUUCAGGCGCUUCGGGAUAUGACCCUCUAACAUCUAAGAUUCCGGUACAUAAAUUUUCCUUCAAAGAAGAUAUUGACCAUUUCUUUAACCUUAUAUUUCUAUUCAAUUUUGUUUUCAUUUUUGUGUAAAAUCAGUCAGUUUUUUCACUGUCGGAUCAAUUAGAAAUGUUCAAGGAGUACAUAGGAAAGCUGAAAGCCAUGGUUGGAGAAGAAAGAACAAACACCAUUCUAAGCAAAAGCUUGUUUUUAGUGGUACACAGUAGUAAUGACAUUACCUCUACAUAUUUCACCGUUCGGAAAGAGCAGUAUGAUUUUGCUUCUUACGCAGAUAUUCUGGUAACCUUGGCGUCUUCUUUCUUAAAGGUAAUUUCAAUUGCCAUGCUCUUCCAUUUCCAUUUCCAUUUCCUAAUAUUCAAUUAUUUAACAAUUGUCUGGUAUAAAACAAAAUUUAAAGGAAC